AGAUCGGCGGAUCAGGUUGUCCUCGUCUUUCGGAUGGCGAUGCCAUAGGCAAAGACGACACCCCGUUCCCAAAAAUGUGCAUAGGGAGGAGGCACGGCCCUGAGAACGUCGAAUUCUGUUGUGCAACAUUGCCAGGACUACCUUGCUGGCGAACGCAGGAAGAGUGCCUCCACGUUUGCCCAUAGGUCUCAUCGUUGUGAUUAAUCAACGUAGCGGGCCAACCUUUGAUGUUUCUGUCCAUCAGAAAAAUUUGAAUGAAGGGAAAUGAAUAAUAUUUUUUCAAGGGGAGGAAACAAAUAGUCAUGCAUGGAUAUGUAUACAGAGAUGGACCGGCUCUGCAUCUAGGAAAUUAAUAAUUUGUAAACUUAUGCCUACAAUUCCAGCAUUACGCCUUUUAUUCGCACAUGGCAUCAAAUAUGUCGUUGCCACCCGUCCAUGGUUGCUCGGUUUUGCCCCGUGUGGCGCGCGAUGAUCCAUUGCUGUUGCUCACAAAGUCGUUCGCUUCCACCCUCCCGUAGUCAGUUGCAGUGAAGCCUAAGGGCCAGUUCUUUUGGGCAAUUCUCCGAGAAUUGACCCCCUCCCCAGCUUCUCCCAGAAUUGCCACUUCAUCUUUUUUUACAAUUCCUAGCUAGUUAAGAUCUAAUUAGCUAGGAAUUGUAAGAAAAUAUAGAGUGCCAAUUCUGGGAGAAGCUGGGGAGGGGGUCAAUUCUCGGAGAAUUGCCCAAAAGAACUGGCCCUAAGCAUAUUUGCAGCCAAUUCUGAUAUAUAUGGUGGCAAGCAAUCCUAAAAUCAAACUGAUUAGUGUGUUUCAUUCGUAUCAUGACAUUCCCAGCACCAAAAUCUGAAUAGUUAGACAACAAUGUAAACCUUGAUCGCCGGAAUCGGAAUGAAGGUUCAUUUCCUUUUACACGACAUCAGAAUUUGCACGGUACUAAAGCAUCCUAUAACUCACCACGGGAUCAAUGCUUACUGGAGCAUAGCACAACGCAUGACAGACUCAGAUGCACCACUCUCAAGUCUGAAGCAUUCAAACGACGAGCAUUCAUAUCCGUUCCAGGAACAAAGCAAAGUUGUACUAGAGGCUAGACCUACUACUAGAUGAACUUCUCAGCUUAUCCCACUAGCAACAACAUUCCAACGACCCAAUAAUCACCAACGGCAUCCAUGUUACCAAAAAAGAGGCAAUCAAGAAACCCAGUGCAGCUUUGAGAGCACGAUCAGUUGCUCAUGAGGAUGUUGGAUGUUACAUCCCCCAGAACUCCUUCAUCUGCUUCUGGCUGCGGAGAUCUGGUAGAAGUAUCAGGGAGUGUAUAAGUGUAUAAGUGUGUAGUCUAGGAUCAUGUACAGAAGGAACAUACUUAACUUAGCAAAACAUACUUCCAAUUUAACAGAAUGGUGACAAGAUAUUAAGCAGAUUAUAUAUGCACAUAAAAGCAUGUGGCUUUUCAGGGAAAGCGGAACAAGACAGUAUGCAGUCGAUAUCCGUCAGCAAAUAGCACAGGGACAUACAAGCAAGUAAAAGUACUGAUAAUGAAAAUAAAUACAAAAUGCUAUCUGAAGAGAAGGUAUGACUCACAAGCAUUCCCGCUGUGGCAGACAUAAAUUUUCUCGACUGGUAUACCAUUUUCCAUGAACUAAUUUGCCAGCUUAUGGACUCUCCCAUCAUCCUUUGAGCAUGUGAUCUUCACCAUUCGAAGGUCUUUGCAAGUAAAUGAUCUUCCCUGUAAUUUGAUACUUGUUUCUGAUGCCUUUCUGGCAUUGAAGUUCUUUUGCAGAUCAAAAAAGUUAUUGUUAAGCAUGUGCUAAAUUACUCAAAACUAAAAGAUAAUCAAGUAAGCAUAAGCCCCAAAUAUGUAAUUACACAUACAAUUUUAAGUCGGAGAAAGAGCUUCUGUAUAUUAGGUGAGUGCUGCAGCAAGAAAAUUAAUGCAUCAAAGUCUGCAGUCAUACACCAUUCGCCAAGGGACAAGGUCUUCAGGUUGCCAAAAGUUGGACAUGUAUUGAGUUCCCUACUCAGAACCACCUACACAUUGCACAUAAAAUGAGUGUGUUGGAAAUAUGCCCUAGAGGCAAUAAUAAAAGCAUUAUUAUUAUAUUUCCUUGUUCAUGAUAAUUGUCUUUUAUUCAUGCUAUAAUUGUAUUAUCCGGAAAUCGUAAUACAUGUGUGAAUACAUAGACCACAAUACGUCCCUGGUGAGCCUCUAGUUGACUAGCUCGUUGGUCAACAGAUAGUCAUGGUUUCCUGACUAUGGACAUUGGAUGUCAUUGACAACGGGAUCACAUCAUUAGGAGAAUGAUGUGAUGGACAAGACCCAAUCCUAAGCAUAGCACAAGAUCGUGUAGUUCGUUUUUGCUAGAGUUUUUUCAAUGUCAAGUAUCUCUUCCUUAGACCAUGAGAUCGUGUAACUCCCGGAUACCGUAGGAGUGCUUUGGGUGUAUCAAACGUCACAACGUAACUGGGUGACUAUAAAGGUACACUACAGGUAUCUCCGAAAGUGUCUGUUGGGUUGACACGGAUCGAGACUGGGAUUUAUCACUCCGUAUGACGGAGAGGUAUCUCUGGGCCCACUCGAUAAUGCAUCAUCAUAAUGAGCUCAAAGUGACCAAGUGCUUGGUCAUGGGAUCAUGCAUUACGGUACGAGUAAAGUGACUUGCCGGUAACGAGACUGAACGAGGUAUUGGGAUACCGACGAUCGAGUCUCGGGCAUGUAACGUACCGAUUGACAAAGGGAAUAGUAUAUAUACGGGGUUGCUUGAAUCCUCGACAUCGUGGUUCAUCCAAUGACAUCAUCGAGGAGCAUGUGGGAGCCAACAUGGGUAUCCAGAUCCCGCUGUUGGUUAUUGACCUGAGAGCCGUCUCGGUCAUGUCUGCAUGUCUUCCGAACCCGUAGGGUCUACACACUUAAGGUUCGGUGACGCUAGGGUUAUUAGGAAGACUUGUAUGUGAAUACCGAAUGUUGUUCGGAGUCCCGGAUGAGAUCCCGGAUGUCACGGGGAGUUCCGGAAGGGUCCGGAGGUAAAGAUUUAUAUAUGGGAAGUUCUCAAACGGACACCGAAAAGUUUCGGGGGCAUAUCGGUAUUGUACAGGGGCCACCGGAAGGGUUCCGGGGGUCCACCGGGAGGGGCCACCCCUCCCGGGGGGGGCACAUGGGCUGCGUGGGGCAGGAGCCAGCCCCUGGAGGGCUGGGCGCCCCCCCCCCUUGGGCCCAUGCGCCUAGGGUUGGGGGAACCCUAGAGGGGGCGCCCCCUUUGCUUAGGGGGCAAGUCCCCCCUCCCUGGCCGCCGCCCCCCUCUAGAUCCCAUCUAGAGGGGCCGGCCCCCCUUGCCCCUUCCCCUAUAAAUAGAGGGGUGAGGGGAGGGCUGCACACACAAGCCAAGGCGCAACCCCUCCCCUCCCCAACACCUCUCCUUCUCCGUCACGAGCUUGGCGAAGCCCUGUCGGAGUGCUGCUUCUCCACCAACACCACGCCGUCGUGCUGCCGGUGGAGCUGUCUUCCUCAACCUCUCCUUCCUCCUUGCUGGAUCAAGACAGAGGAGACGUCGCCCGUACCGUACGUGUGUUGAACGCGGAGGUGCUGUCCGUUCAGCACUUGGUCAUCGGUGAUCCGUAUCACGUCGAGUACGACUCCAUCAUCACCGCUCCCUCGAACGCUUCCGUACGCAAUCUACAAGUGGUAUGUAGAUGCAAACUCACUCCCUUGACUCGUUGCUUAGAUGAACUCAUAGAUGGAUCUUGAUGAAACCGUAGGAAAAAUUUUAAUUUUCUGCAACGUUCCCCAACAGAGUGUUCAGCAAAUAAACAUAGUAAUUUGAAUCAAUUCUAUACUUUAUAUACUGAAUACAAGAGAUAUAUUUAAUAUGCAGAGAAGAAAACAAACAUACCCACCAUGAAAAAGAAACUAAGACAUACAGUGAUGUGUUACCAUGAUUAGUACCUAUUGGUAAAAUAUGAUUCCUCAUUCCUUUCUAUAAUGUGAAGAGACAUUGGGACACGGAGUUUCUGCACACGAGCACAUAUGAGCUCUUUAUCGGCAUGGAUGGGGUGCAGUUAAUUCGUGGGUGGAAUACGGGGUGCGAGUUAAUGAUGUAAAUUGAGGAAUACGGGCAUGGGGAUUUGUGAGCUGUCCCCGAGGAAAGAACGGAGAACCAGCCGCCGUCAGCCUGCGGGAGGCGAGCCGUGGCUCGGGAAGUUCGUCGACGUUCUGAUCCAUGGAACAGGAAAAACACUUUCCUCGUUGGUAGUAGUAACUACGAGGUGGAGGGGUGGGAGUGCUCUGCUUCCUGUAGGCACUCCAUCGUACCAUCAGCGAGGUCGGGUCUCCUGGGAUCUCAGCCACCGUGGGAAUGGGCCGUCGCCGAUGAGCAGGAGAUAGAAUUCCUGAUGCAGCCAAUUAAAAGGUAACGUACAGAUCCUCUUUCCCGCAGUACAGAUUUGUGAUGAAUUCCUUCCCUGCGAUUGACUUUCCGUUUCCGCAUCUGUCGGAGCAGAUUCACGGUGCUUGAGGAGGUCAAUGAUAGCGAUGUCCCGAUGGCGCCGCUGCAUUAGCCCGUCGCCGGCGUCGGCGAGCUGCAGCACGCGGCGGCCCCAGAGCUGAGCAGGGACGGACAAAUCUGUGCGACCCAAGCAGUGGUGGCGGCAGACUGGCAGAAAGGGAAAUUUCACCCCAAAAGGCUUGAUUAAUGAACCUAGAAAAUCCCUCGAAUUGGAUCCCACUAAGCGUCCGAGCUCUCCACCGGCAAGAUGAACCCACAGUUUACUGGAUGGGCUCGUAGGUAUGAACUUACUUCCGGCUGUGAUUUUGGAUGUUGGUAUUCAGGUCACUGUUCCCGUAUAUAGGCAUAGUGGAUAAAAUUCAUCCAUGGCCAGGGGUAGAGCAGUCCCAUUGAGGAUAGAUUUUUACUGGCCAAAUUUUGGUAUUCCAUAAUACAAUGGGUACUCAAUGGAUGUAUAAAAUUCAGUUUAGAAAAAAAGGGUUUCACACGAUCUUCAGGAGUUGCUUACAACAUUAUAAAAUUCACUGGCAAAAUCAUACGCAUUUCGCCAGUCUUUCACGCGAGUUUCUUACAAAAUUGUAAUCCGUUCUUCAGGAGUGCGACAUCUUAGAAUUGAGGAUUGACUGCAGCAUGUAUUUGUGCUUUGUCGUUAUCACACGAUAACCAGAAAUACCUUGUUGGCAGUUUGGUCAGUGUGGCCUGAUAAAAAUAAUGUGCCUGCUGCAAUAAUGAACUUGCCUUUCAUCGAUGUGGCGACAUGCGUGCCGAUCACAUACACAGAGCCUUGUUACCUGAGAUGUGCCUUUUAGAUUUAUUGGUUUAUGAACCCAGCUAUCUUAUAUGCUACUCCUUUUGUACCUAAAUAUAUGAUGUUUUGGUAGACUAAACUGGCCUACCAAAACAUCAUAUAUUUAGGUAUGGAGGGAGUAGAUUGAUAUAUAUGUUUAUUUCCUGGUACAGAGAUAGAAAAUACGGCUACUCUAGUGGGAAGUGCAUACAUACAUGAAUUUUUAAUAUAGCAAGCAGACAUUGAUGGUGAUCUAAAAGGAAAAUGUAGCAAUUUACUAUGUUGUACCUUCAUCAUAUAAACUAGUGGUAAAUAGCUCAGGUAAGUUUUAUGUUAGGAGUGCGCCAGGUGAACACUCGAAUGUUACAGAACUGAGCUCAGAUGGGGUUGAUGUAUCAUAAGUCAAUAAGUGCCUGAAUUGGGUAUCUACCAUUGGAGUUGCUUAUGGAGUUUGAUAUGGUCUUUCAUAUAACUAGUAGAGAUAAUAUGCGAUUGUUCAAGGAGGUCGUCGUUUGAUGUCAGGUACCAAAUUCGAAAGAAGCAGUACAAGUGUACAGCUAGAGAAGUUGCCGAAACAAUUGUAGCUAUUGAAACAGUGACCCAAGGUGCUGUAGCUCAAGCUAACUAGCAUGCAAGGCCGACAACUGUGGCGUCAUGGCAACAGAUGUGUCAACAGAAAGAAUUGAAAAUGAUGGAAGAGAGUCCAGUUCUUGAGGACUGUGCAACACAUUCCAGCAUCAGACAGCUCCGAUGACAUGAAGAUAAGAGCGUCGAUGAGGCACAAAUACCAGUGUCUGCAUUCCAGAAUGAUACAUCAUCUGCUGGUAAUGGGGGGAUUUUUGCAAUAGAUAUGUGGAAGUAGAUCUACGGGUUAAUUGCUCUAACAAGGAAUAUGACUGAUGAUGACGCAAUGCUUGAUAGAUAAUCGAAGCACAGAUUGUCGGAGGGGGACAGGUCUAGUGUCCGAACUGAUGUCGAGGAACCUAAGGUUGCAAGUUGGUAUGGUGAGGACAAUUGUGUAAGGUGAUAUGGGGGAUAAAUUCUGAUGGAAAGCCGAUUUUGAAGCAUGAAGAGCCAAAUGCAGGAGAGGUGACGAUUUUCUAUGACAAAUCCUGUCAUGUACCAACAUGGAUCUUAGCAAGUGAGUGUAACUAAGGGAUUAGCGUUAUUAAAUUCGAAAUGAAUCAUGGUAGCUUCAGUACUCACUGAGGUUGUCAUUUGCAGGAUAUGGUUCAAGCACAUGGUUCCAACAUUCGCUUUGCUGACGGGAGAGGACUACAUCAAGGAGUUUGGACAAUUACAUUAGUCUUGGUUAACAACUUAAACCGGUGAGCGCUAAGAUCAGUCUUCGUGUUUGCAUUCAUACUGCUUGUGAUUUUGACCCUAUGAUGGUGGAAUGUGCAGAUCCGACAUCACUAUCUCAGGAGGUCAAUUGCAUAUGAGGUGAUCUCGAUGAGAGGUAACAUGGGUGAGUUGCCAUGAGAGGUAACAUGGGUGAGUUGCCCAACUUCAUGAUCGAGAAAGUCUUCUUCUGAUGUGGGAGUGCUGAUCUGGUACCAUGUGGUUGCUUUUGGGUGGGACUUUUUUUUUGUGCGAGUGAAUUAAUGUGCUUCUAUUACUCAGUGAUAAGCUUUUGGUUGGAACCUGAAGCUGUGCCUACGGUUCGCGGGUACUUGUUACUUGUUAGCUUCCAUUCCAGUUUCUGAUGUGGUUGUGCUUGUAAUCCCAUUGUGUGGUAGCCUACCAUUAUGUAUGUGUUAAAUCUGAACCACUAUUUUGAGCCAGCUGUGACAUGUUAGCAUCCAUCCCGCUUGAGUAGUGUGGAAGUGCUUGUGGUCACACUGUGCCGAGACUUCAUGAACUAGUGUGUGUGAGACUAUGAUCUGAACAAGCGAUGCUGCAAUUACUAUUUGCUUGUGUUAGUACGUACCUACUUUUUAGCUAUGAAUAAAAAGAAUUUGCAUUAGUACUUGCGACGACAACUUGUGAUGCAUAGUGCGACCUGAAAAAGUUGUUCGCCAUGUCCGGCAGCGGUCAUGAUCUGUUUUUUUUUAACAGGCGGUCGGCGGUGAUCUUGCAGAAGGAGGUCAAAGACAGAGGGCUUGGUUUCCUUGGUGGCAGAUCAAAGUAUUAAUUGCAGCAACGUGGCAGUGGGUAGACGGCUCAGGAAGGUAUAGGAUGUCGGUCUAGCACGUCAUAUUUUAUCUGGGCCGGAAAGUACUUGACGGGCGCAGGUGUAAUUAAUGCGACACAGAGGUGGGCCAUCGCUCAAAGAAAUAAUCAUGUAGGACUCCCUAUACGAGCUAAAAUACAAGCGGGAGUGUGAAUCUGGAAGAAAGCAGACAGAUGUGAUAAAGUGUGCAGGUGUGCUCGGGCUCAUAAGAGCACUUUCGGGGACAUUGCCGUUAUACUGGUACCCAGACUCAAAAUAGUUAAUUACACAACGAUUUGAACAAUAAUCAUUUAAAAAGAUACACUAUUUCAAGAAUAUAAAAAAUAACAAACAAUAAUCUGAAAUAAUAUAUAAUGCUCUUUUGAAGCUUCGUACUUCCAUAUCUCAUUGAUUUCACCUACUACAUUUGAUGAAGAAAUGAGCUAGUACUAAUUUCUUGAUCUGAACUCUUCUCCAAGUCAACUGUGCCUUUCUAACCAGGUAUUGGUACUUAUGUAAGAAGUGUGCUCAUUGUACAUGUGUAUUCUGUUGGGAGCAACAUAAAUUUCUUUUGCAAACAUCAGAAAAAAGUUGUUAAGGAAAAAAAAUUAUGGCUAUAUCAAGGAAAUUUUCAUAUAUACUCGAAGAUAGAGAAAAUAGUAAAAGGUUGUGACAGCUAUACCUCUCCAGCAUCAGUCAACAACUCCAAAGUUCUAGCACUUGAAAGACUCUGAAGAAUAUGACGGCCACCUAAAAUCUUCGCAUCAUUGCAUUCUCUAUAUCCACCAUAGAUACUGUCUUUACUGGAAAUCAGGCCUUUACCUUUGUAGCCAUACUUUGCAUCAUUUGCAAUCUCACUGUAUGCAUAGGUAUUGUCAUCGUUGUCAAUAUCACCACCAUAGUUAUAAUUAUCCUUGUAACGAUCAUGCCUGUAAAUUCCUUCAGCAAAACCAUGUCCAUAUCCAAACCUUAUAAAAUCAUCAUAUCCAACAUUAUCACUCAAGGAAGACUCAUCAUGAAUCUUCGAGCUCUCUGUCCAAUCAUUGUAGUCGGUAUCAUCCCCGUCGUCAUCAGUAGUUCCAUCACAGUAAUCUUCAUCACUGAUGUAUUCAUUGUCAUCACCCAAGAAAGAGUCAUCAAGUAUGAUAGUAGCUGUGACAAGAGACCCCAAAUUCUUGAAUGAUGGGACUCGGACGUAAGGUGUGAUGAGGUGCAGAAGUAGGAGGUUCGGAGCAGCAAUGGAGAAGGCGCAACUGAUCUCGCAUUCGAGCAUGAUUAAAGUCUUCAAAGAGGCGGACACAAUCCUAGGGCCCGCCACCAAGCAAUCCUUCAGACCUAGUACUUCCAAAGACGUGCAGCUAGAAGAAAGCUGCCGGAGGAUCCUGUAGUCGAGCAUGGCAUACGACAACUUCAAGACCUUGAGGUGGCAAGAGAUGAACGACACGCGGUCCAACGACGCGAUCUCCGAGCAACACCCGGUGAGAUGGAUAACCCGCGCGUUGCGCUUGAUGGCGGCCCUCAUCCACACGCUGGCGUCGUCAUCGGUGAAGCCAGCUUCUUCGUCGCUCGACCACAGGCGGAGCAUGACCACGGGGGCUGACGCUUCACGUAGGAGGAAGAGCCGGUGCACGAAGUCGCGGAACUUCUCAGACGGGUCGCCGUAGCGGCCAGUGGAGGGGUGCACGCGGAGAUUGACGCAGGGCACGGACGCCCAGAGGUGGCGCCACCGCCGCGCGAGCACGCAGGUGUGGACCACCUCCCACGCCUUCAAGAAUGACAUGAUGUGGUGCAGGAGCUCGUCCGGGAGGGCGCUGAGGUGGUCGCGCUUGGCGGCAGCCCGGCCUGCACCGCGGCGGCGGCCCGGGCGCUGGGUGGUGCUCCGGUGCAUUUCGUCGAGCGGAAGAUCUGCAUGCAGGUUUAGCGACACCACGGGGCUCAGCCUUGUCAGUCAGGAUUUUGAAUGAUGGAACGGAACAUAACAUACCAAGAGAGUCGGCUUGAGAUGGCCAAAAGUGAAUUCCGCCAAGAGACACUCACGUACACAAGAGCUAGCAGAAGCACUUGAUCGGUUCCUGUACAAGCAUGCACUAGUAUAUGAGCCUGACUUGUAGUACAAAGUUGAAGGCGUUUUUAAACCUUCAUCAAAGGAUAUGGAGUGCAUUGCCGUUUGUUAAGGAAACUGACAGAAACAAACUGCGGAGUGGAAUGUCACAAAUUCUCCAAAUCCACUACCCAAAAUAGUAAUAAAAUGAUUGUACAUAGGGGCGGCGUUGCCGGAAAGGAAAGCAGGGGAGAGGUGGCCACCUUGCAGCUUGGGCGCGGACGGCGUGAGCUCAUCCACGCCGUAGAUGUGCCAGAGGCGGGCACGGUGAACGUCACGCGGUGCCUCGAAGGCACCUACGCUGGCGGGGCCCGGCCCCGCCGUGGAGCUCACCGUCGCGACGACGGCCAGUUGCCGCACGGAGAUGUGGGGCAUGAUGUCCGAUGGCGGCCUUGAGUCGGAGCAGCUGGGGAAGGGAAGGGAUGUGCUUGGCACCGGAUCUGUAGCGCCGCCGCGAAGCAACAAGGGAGAUGGUCAGAUGGGACUAUCAUGGGAGCAAAUCCUGAAAUAAGAACCGUGGGCGCCCCUGCGCUCUCUUAGAGCUUAGGCACUCUCGGCCGUCGGAUCGAUUUCUUGAUGCGUUUUUGACCAUUCGAUCUCGCUCCCGGAAGACCUCGGCCGUCGGAUCAAACCAAAAACACUGCCGCAAUGAGUACUGUGCCCUCCAGCGUGCCACCGCCAGUUAUUUCUAUGCCCCGCCGAGGGCAUUUUUGUCAUUUCAUGUCUUAGGUCAACACUUGCCCUUUUCCGUUUUGCUGCCUCCUUCCCUAUCAGUGCUAGGACUAUCACGGGAGCAAAUUCGUUAGAAAUGAGGGUCCUUUUUGCACAGAAGCGUGCAUUUCUGCGUACACAUCCGUCUCAUUGAGUCCGUGCCAUCCAUCAAUCCAGUGGUCCAGCUUCCAGUUUUCUAUUUUUGCGACUAAGAGACAUAUUCUAUAGCAGUCGCCCGACCAAUAUGGCGACUUUUGACUGAGAAUGUCAUUUUAGCAUACUAGUCAUCCGAUCUUCGGCCUGCAUUGAAGGGUGCUCCAUAUUCAACCCUUCAAAUAAUGUGGGUCAUUGGUUUGGAGCAUGCGUCAUCCACCAACUGCUCGAGCGGGAGGAAAGUUUUGGUUCGGUCUCUUCCUCCCGCAUGCAGCCCGAUCAAUGCUGGUGUCGCCCGUGCAGUUGCCGCUUCCGCCCUGACAAUGUUGCAACCACGUAUCCACAUGGAAGAGUGCCAACUAAUGCUCUUCGUCACGUUUCCCUCCGGCAUGUGGCAAAUUAGCCCCAAUUUCCAGCCGAAACACGCCCAUUUCGCGGGUAUAUGAACCCAUUACCUUCGCCAUCAGCACCACAUUUAACCUCUCUCCCCCAUUCCCAUCGCCAACACACUCACCUCACCGCCCCCCUUCACCGGCCGCCACCCUGCCCUCUCCACCCCUGCCGCCACACUCAAUCUCAUCGACCAUGUCGAUGUAGUCACGUCCUCCCUAGCAAGACCAAAGAGGUCCACACCGAGAGAGGGUUCUGUGGGAGGAUGUGGGACUACUUCAAGUGGAUCGAGGAUGACGCACACCGAAAGGCUGAAUCAGUCGUCGUCCGUGCCCGCCUACCCACCGCCCUUGAGUAUUUUGACUGAAUGUCGAUGGCAGCCUAGGCAGAAAUGGGCGCCACGUUCACGCCGCUUUUCAAAUGCACGGUUAUGACCACUCUGCUAGAGUUGCUCUUAUAUCUCGCCAGCACAACCCAUAAAACCACCCUGGCUCUGCACCAUAUUUUCUGGUUUGGUCAAGCCAGACUCACUCUAUGGGACCACAAGCGGUGGGACAAAGAGAAUAAAGGGCGGCAAAGAGGAGCCGUCGGGCGACAACCAAAACAAGAUUUGCCAUGGGGCAAGGUUUUGCCAAUUAGGCGGACGGGGCGCAAGUCCGAUUAGGUGGGUAGAGGAUAGUCCCAUCUGGUUUACGCUUCCUAGACUCCUAGUUGGAAUACUGGCCAUCACACACAUCAUCUUGACAAGGGGGCCCAACUGGUUAAAAUCAGAGCAAAGUGUUAAAUUGGGUUAAACACGACACAGCACAACAAUUUUGGGGUACGAUGUGGCCGAAAAUUUAAAUGGGGCAAAUACUAUCACAAAUACACAAACAAUGGGUAAAAAGUGAAAUUCACCAUGUUAUUAACAGUGUCCUUUUUCAACAACAAAAAUGCAGUGUAUUUUUUCAGGUGUUAGUAUUUGUUAUUCUGAGAGAAAAUACCUCGCCGCUCAUAGUUGUAGGCACACAUGAUUGCAGAGCAUCAAGUUUACUUCAAUAUUCAACCUGUUGUAUAUGAAGUGUAUUUCCUUUUCACUGCAUGUGAAACACAUUUCAAAUUUUCAAUUUUUCAUUGAUUUCAUUAUACAACUGUAUUAAACUUCCGAAGAUAAAAAACCCUACAGUCAUACUGUAGGAGUGAAAUAACGAAGCGUAUCUCAGCUGCACCACAAUUCAGGCAUGGGGCAUCCAUAAUUUAUUUUUCUGUUCUUGUAAGAAAGCUAAUUUUACUACAGACCACACAGAUGAAUUAGUUUAUAGUAUAGGAAGAACAUCCCAACGAUUUGUAGCCCAUGCUCCUAAAAAGGACGUCAAAAGAUCGGGUGAAGCUUUGAAAGCAUCAUCAGUACUGCAUGGAGAUCAAGGGUUCUUACUGCACCUUGCUAACUACAUAAUGGAUGGUCGAUCGUCGGCAGGAUUUAAUAUCUAGAAGACCCCUCGUAAACUUCUGGAUGUUACAUCCAGUCAUCCCCACAUUCAUCCAGUUCUUGCUUGGCGAGGUCUCUCAUAAACUUCUGGCCACGGAGAUCUGGUAGAAAUAUCAAAAAGUAGAUGACUGUAGAUUAGGACCAUGUAUGAAAGAACAUCUUUUAAUUUAACAGAAUAUCGAUGAUACACUAAGCAGAUUAUAUGCCCAUUUAUACGUAUUUAGCUUUUCAUGAACAAGGCAAUGUGCUCUUUACAUCUCAGUAAAUAGCAUAUACACAUAUAAAGCAGUAAGGAAAUACUGAUAUUGCAAGUAAAUACAAAAUGGUUAUGAAGAAAAAGGUAUGACUCACAAGCAUUCCCACUCCGACGCACAUAAAUAUUCUCUAGCGGUAUACCAUUUGCCCUGAACAUAUGUGCCAAGGUGUGGACUCUCCCAUCGUCCUUUGAAUAUUUGAUCUUGACCAUUUUAAGUUCUUUGCAAGUAAAUGAUCUUCCCUGUAGUUUGAUACCUGUUUCCAAUGCCUUCCUUGUGCUGAAGUUCUUUAGCACAUUAACCAAAUUGUCAUUAAGUGUGCGAUCAGAUACUAAAAAACUAAGAGCAAUGAAGUCAAGGAUCAAGUAGCAUACACCAAAUAUGUAAUCGCACAUACCAAUUUAAGUUGGAGAAAAAGCCUCUUUAUAUUAGGUGAAUGUUGUAGCAAGAAAAUUAAUGCAUCGAAAUCAGCGGCCAUACACCAUUCACCAAGGGACAAGGUCUUAGGUUGCUAAAAGUUGGACAUCUUCUCAAUUCCCUACUCAGAACCACCUUCAUAUUGCAGACAAAAGAGUAUUCAGGAAAGAACGGUAGUAAGUCAAAUCAACUACUCACAGUAAAAAACUGCAUCAGGAUGGUUUAUUCAACAGAAAAAACAUACCCAUCUCAAAAAAGAAGGGAAAACAACAUCUAUCAUGCAUAUACUGAUGUAUUGCUAGAAGAGUAGCAUGUAUUGGUUUUAUAUGAUUCAUCUUUCUUUUCUAGUAACUGAAGGAACAUCGGCCUUAGACACUCUUAUAAAAACCGAAUAUAAUUGAUCAUUAUAUAUAUAUAUAUAUAUAUAUAUAUAUAUAUAUAUAUAUAUAUAUAUAUAUAUAUAGACACGCUAAACUAAGCCUGAGCGCAUUGUAAGUAAACGUACGCUCUGACCACUGUGAAGCGCACCACUAACCGACCCUUCCUCUAACUAGUCUAAGCCAACCAUCCUGGUCGAUGCGGUAAACUGAUCGUAACACUAGUAGAAAAAGGGCCUACAUUCCCGGUUGGUCAGGGCCUUUAGUCCCGGUUCAUGNNNNNNNNNNNNNNNNNNNNNNNNNNNNNNNNNNNNNNNNNNNNNNNNNNNNNNNNNNNNNNNNNNNNNNNNNNNNNNNNNNNNNNNNNNNNNNNNNNNNNNNNNNNNNNNNNNNNNNNNNNNNNNNNNNNNNNNNNNNNNNNNNNNNNNNNNNNNNNNNNNNNNNNNNNNNNNNNNNNNNNNNNNNNNNNNNNNNNNNNNNNNNNNNNNNNNNNNNNNNNNNNNNNNNNNNNNNNNNNNNNNNNNNNNNNNNNNNNNNNNNNNNNNNNNNNNNNNNNNNNNNNNNNNNNNNNNNNNNNNNNNNNNNNNNNNNNNNNNNNNNNNNNNNNNNNNNNNNNNNNNNNNNNNNNNNNNNNNNNNNNNNNNNNNNNNNNNNNNNNNNNNNNNNNNNNNNNNNNNNNNNNNNNNNNNNNNNNNNNNNNNNNNNNNNNNNNNNNNNNNNNNNNNNNNNNNNNNNNNNNNNNNNNNNNNNNNNNNNNNNNNNNNNNNNNNNNNNUCCGUGCUUGGUCGACGCUACGUACCAUACAUACAUACGUAUAGAGAGGACUAGCUAGACACGCUAGCUAGCUAGUAAGCAAACAGAAGAUCGUCAUGAACAUAUAUGCAUACAGAGAGAAGUGAUAUCGACCACCUCUCCUUCUCCGAGAGAUUGGUCGAACAAACAAGUUCUCGUAUAUCUAUCCGACACUACCGGCUACAUAUAUACAAUAAUUAUCUUUUACAAAUAUAUAAUCUCCUAAAAUACGGACGCGUGGUCCACAUAGUAUUCUCCGUCUUCAGCGAUCACGUGGUCAAGAAAGAAUGCCGCCAAUUCCUCUUGAAUUGCUCGCAUGCGAUCUGGUGCUAGGAGUUCAUCCCGCAUCCGAAACAUCUAAUUUUAAGAAGGGGGUCAAUACAUACAUACAUAUAUAUAUAUAUAUAUAUAUACAUACAUAUAUAUAUAUAUGAAUGAAUGAAACUCAACACAAAUGAUGGUAAUAAAAUAAAAUUGUGAAUAUUGUUAUUUACGCACUUCAUAUUGUUUGUCGGAGUAGCCCCGCUCACAAGUCGUGUGGCGGAUGGACUCGCAAAUGUAGUAUCCACAGAAAUCAUUCCCUUGUUCCUACCACAACCACUUUACAAGAAAUAGAGGUCAAUCAAACUGAUAAUUAGCAAGCAUGCUAAAUGGUAUUGAUGAAACUAGCGCUUGAAUCACUAGGAGAUGCCUGGAAUAUGCUACUAUAUAGUACUUACUUUCGGGUGCCUAAAUUGCAGCUUCUUCGGUAGUCCCGGAGCUUUUUUGGUGAAUUUUCUCCAAGCCCUGCCAUACAAAGAAAACAAUUACUUGAUAUCAGAAAUGAACAAAGUUGCUGAUAUGGUGGAUAAUGAUCGAUUUAACUUACUUCUCGAGCAUUUCAGUCAUGUCCGCAUACUCCUUGGGAUCUUUUCUCUUGGAGUCUAAGACAGUUACUACUCCCUUCUCAAGCUUAAUCUCUAGGAGAAUAUAGUGGUAGCUGCACACACAUGCAUAACUCAUCAAUAUUACAUUACUAUAACCUGGACUAAUAAGGAAACCGAAUAUGCCACAAGACAGUAACACUCACUUGAAGUUGUAAGGAAAGAGUAUUAUAUCUUUGUGUUCAUUUAUUUCCAACGAUCGUAGCAAGUUGGCCUCGGUUUCUUGGGCACGAUAUUGAACCUCAGUUGCAUCUAUGAGAUACGUGUUAAUGAACCCAAUAUCUCCCACUUGUCUUUUCUUCAAUUCGGCGAUCUUCAAUCUACAUAAUAUAGUGAGGAUAAUUAUAAAUACAUGCAAAUGAAAGGGCUGAGUUAUAUAGAGAGACUUAAUGACGGAAGUAGUACUACUUACAGACAGUAGGAGGUGACCGUUGCUUUAUUGAUGGCCAAUUGAUUGAAAAACUGAUAGAACUCCUCAAACGGAAUAGGCAACAGUUCAAUUCCAAGGAGGUAAUGCUCCUUUUUAACUCUCACAUACAAAGUACUCCUCCCCUCAGACUCUUUGCAGGUUUUCAUGUACCAAUCAUGCAAUCUUCGCAUCAUCGUUGAUAGAGAACUUUCAUCUUUGACGAGAGGCUUCCCGUACUCGUAUCUUUGUAUCUGCACCUCCAAGAUAUCAUAAUGUACAUCGUCGGGCAGGUAAUCUGCAGGAUUGCCAUAACCGGGGCACCAUCCUCGGAUCGACGAUGUCGCUAGCAGGCACCUUGAGCGGGGGGCACGAUUGCUUCGCUUGUUCGCCGAGCUGGGCAAUUUGUUUCCCAGCUCGUCGUUCUUUCAUCCUUUGAUCACUUUUAGUACUUCCCGACCUCUCCGCUUCGGCAAAUGCCUUUCCAAUAAUGCGCUCAUUGUUGCCUUUCGACGGAGACUUGGGUGGUUUUGUCAGGGCAGCCAGAGUGCGCUUCCCUUUCACCGGAUCUGCCUUCUCCUCCGGAGGUGGAUGUCUCUUUGCUUUCAACCCUUGAAACCAGUCAUCCACUUCGGUCUGCGCGAUCUUCGCGUUUUCCUUCUCGCUCCUCUCGUACGGUAACUUCUCUGGAGUCUUCAGAGAAGGACCGAAUCUGUAUCUCCUCCCGCCUUUGGCUGUACUGCUAGACGCCGGCAGAGUAGACAGAGCAGAUGUCUUCUUUCCUUGCUUACGAGGUGGAGGAGAAGGACUGCGACGCGCCGUAGAAGCCGGAGCGGCGGCGGGUCUCUUCCGCCCUUGCUGACGAGGCGGAGAAGGAGGAGGCUGGCUGCUCGUGCGCGCCGGCGCAGGCGGAGAAGGAGGCGGAGUGCCGCCACGCGCCGGAGAAGGAGCGGGCCGAGUGCCCUGAUCGUCACUCGCCGGUGGAGGAGGCGGAGUGCCCUGACUCGCCGGAGGAGGAGGAGGAGGCGGAGGCAUCCAGUUCGGAAGGUUGAUGAGAUCCUUCCGCCAUAAGCAUGGAGUCUUCAAAGCAGAACCCAGCCGAUACUCCCCUUCACCGGUAGGGUGGUCAAGCCGGAGGUCCUCAAAUCCCUCCGUUAUUUCAUCGACCAUCACCUUAGCAUAUCCUUCUGGAAUCGGCCGGCAGUGAAAAGUUGAGUCGGGUUUAGUAGGAUAAACAGAGCCAACAGCCGCCUUGACCUUCAAAUUGCUCCAUUGCGCCAUAAGGUGGCAAUUUUCAGCAUACGUGAUAGCAUCCACGGGAUAGCUGGCAGGAGCCGUCAAGGCAUGCUCUGGCUGAAGCAGCUCGGUGGAAGCCACACUGCUUUUCCGCUGAGAUGGCGGGGUAGCUUUGGGGGAAGCUUCGGCAGGUCGUUUGCUGCGAUCUGCUUCUCGUUCCUCUAGCCCCAUUACCCUUUCGUGCAGCGACUGCAGUUGGCUCUGCUCCAGUUUCUUCCUCCUCUCGUGGGUUUUGUAACCCCCUGCGUCCGGAAAUCCAGCCUUCCACAAAACGGAGCCUGGCGUGCCUCGUGUCCGUCCAGGGUGCUCAGGAUUGCCGAGGGCCAUUGUGAGCUCGUCCUUCUCCCUGUCUGGAACAAACGUCCCUUGCUGCGUUGCUUCGAUAUAUUGCUGAAGCUUCUUGACUGGUAUGUCCAAUUGUUCCUCCGUCCAAAUGCACUUCCCUGUUAUAGGGUCCAAGGAUCCGCCGGCCCCAAAGAACCAAGUCCGGCAACGUUCUGGCCAGUUCAUUGUCUCUGGUUCGAUUCCUUUAUCAAGCAGAUCAUUCUCAGCCUUGGCCCACUUAGGCUGGGCUACGAGGUAGCCACCUGACCCCGUGCGAUGGUGAAGCUUCUUCUUCUCAGCAUUUCUCUUGUUUGUCGCCGACAUUUUUUUACUCUUUUCCGAUGUCUUGUGGGCCACAAAUGCGGGCCAGUCAUCUCUGAUCUUCUCAUAUUUGCCAAUGAAUUCUGGUGUCUCAUUUUUUUCGACAUACCUAUUGAGGUCUUUCUUCCAAUUCCUGAAUAGGUCUGCCAUCUUCCUCAGAGCAAAAGACUUGAUUAAUGGCUCUAUAACUGGCUUCUCCGGAUCAUCCUCCGGCGGUAGGGUGAAAUUUGACUUCAGCUCAGUCCAAAGAUUCUUUUUCUGCAUCUCAUUGACAUAAGACACCUCAGGGUCUUCGUUCUUAGGCUUAUACCAUUGCUGGAUGCUGAUCGGGAUCUUGUCCCUAACCAGAACCCCACACUGAGCAACAAAUGCCUUCUUUGUCCGGUAGGGUUCAAUCGGUUGGCCGUCGCGCGCGACUUGUAUGAUCUCAAACUUUUCAUCCGAGCUCAACUUUUUCUUCGGGCCUCGUCUCUUUACCGAAGUUGUGCUCGAUCCGGAGGGCUAGAAAAAAGAACAAAGACGAGAGUUAAUUAAUAUGUGUACAUACCAAAACAAUGAGUGCAUCAAUUAGCUAGUCAGCACAGGCUUAACUAAUAUAUAUACCUGGCCGGAAUCGGUUUGGUGAUCACCGUAGCCGUCCUCACGGUCUACUUCUUCACCCUCUCCUUCUUGCACCGGCAUUGGGUCAUCGGAGCCAUGUAAAUCAAUGAGGAGAGGGCCAGCUGCUUCUUCACCCUCUCCUUCCAGACCAUCGUUGUCGUUGAGAAACAUCGAGGAGAGGGCAUCACUUCCUUCUGCGAUUAUGUCCCUCAACAACGCUUCUUGUGCUUCGUCUCGGGGGGUGUCCAUAGUUUCUACAAAUAUUUACAACAUGGCAAUUAUUAUUCAAACAUGACAGAUAUGGAUAUAUUAGUGGUAAACGUAGAACUAGCUAGCUAAUCACAAUAAGGAAUCAUAUUAGUGGCCUCGAUGCUGCUUCUCUAGGGUUUGGGGUGGCCUCAACAAUGCUUCAAGGGUUAGGGGGUGGCCUCGAGAACGCUUCAAGCUAGGAGGGGGUAAUAUCGACCCCCCCACAUGUUGAAGCUAUCGGGAGGGGGUCGGCGUUGAACACUACAUAUAUGUCCCACAAGUGACGUGGGCAUCGACGCCCGCGGUAGGGUAGAGGGUCGUGGAUCACCGAGCGAUCGAGGGUCAAGGGGUCGGGAGGAUCGCCGAGGGGUCGAGAGCCUUCGACCCUUGACCCCUUAACGACCCUCGACCCUGAAACCUUCGACCCUUGACCCCUUAACGACCCUCGACCCUGAAACCUUCGACCCUUGACCCCUUAACGACCCUCGACCCUCUACCCUAGUUCCCGACCCUCGACCCCUCGGUGAUCCUCGACACCCUCGUUAUAUCGACAACGAAGCAACAUACAUAUACAUGGGAAAAUAAUGUUAUCGGGGAGGGGGUAUCGGUACCCCCCUCGUGUCAAAGUUUCUUCUUUCUCCUAUAUUCCUUUCUUUCUUCUUCUCCUCUCAUGUUGAAGUUAUCGGGAGGGGUAUAUCGACGAUGACAGAGGAGAAGAUCGAAGAAAAAAAAGAAGAAGAAAAAGAGGAGAAGAAGAAAGGAAUAGANNNNNNNNNNNNNNNNNNNNNNNNNNNNNNNNNNNNNNNNNNNNNNNNNNNNNNNNNNNNNNNNNNNNNNNNNNNNNNNNNNNNNNNNNNNNNNNNNNNNNNNNNNNNNNNNNNNNNNNNNNNNNNNNNNNNNNNNNNNNNNNNNNNNNNNNNNNNNNNNNNNNNNNNNNNNNNNNNNNNNNNNNNNNNNNNNNNNNNNNNNNNNNNNNNNNNNNNNNNNNNNNNNNNNNNNNNNNNNNNNNNNNNNNNNNNNNNNNNNNNNNNNNNNNNNNNNNNNNNNNNNNNNNNNNNNNNNNNNNNNNNNNNNNNCCUCUUCUUCCUCCCCUCUUCUUCUCCUUUCUUCCUCUUCUUUUUUUCUUUUUCCUCUCAUUCUUUUUCUUCUUCUUCCUUCUUAAAAAUACAUGAAGUAGUAUUGCUUGUUUUUUUUAAAAUAAUGUUCAAAUAAAAAUCUAUGAACAGAAAACAUAUAUAUACACAGAGAACAUAUAUACAUUUUUAUAAAAAUGCAAAAAACAAAAAAAUCUAAAAAAACAUAUAAACAGAUAUACACAUAUACAUAUAUACUCAUACAUAUACACACAUAAUCAGGAAAAAAACUAUAUUUGCAAAAAAAAGGGGGAAGAGGGGGGCGGUGCCGGCCCUGACCAAAGCGGCGCGGGGCGAGGCAGAGGCGACGGCGAGGCAGAGGCGACGGCGAGGCAGAGGCGGGGCGGCGACGGCGUCGGGACGGCGCGGCCGGGGUGUCACAUCCCUAGCUUUACCCUGGCCUUGGACUAGCUUGGUUGCUGCAUCAUGUUUAAAUUCAAAUGAAAUUUGAAUUGAGGAAUAUUGGAAGCCUCAAAACCCUAAAUAAAAGAGGGGAAAAAACCCUAGAAAUCUCAUUCAUUGCUCCAAAAUGCUCCUCUUAAAUGUUUGAUAAUUUUUGGUAAGGGUUCUGGUCCCAACCAAAAUAUUGAACAUUUUUAAGGAUUUAUUUUUGGGACUUUGAAUUUAAAUCAUUAGCUAUUUGAAUUUGAAUUAUAUUCAUAUAAUUAGAAUAUAAUUUCAAAUAUCCCUGAAAUAUUUUAUAAGCUUUUGGAAAAGUCCAUCUAGCAAUAUAAAAUACUCAGUGGAGUUUUUGGCAUUGUUUGAAUUAUUUUUAAAUUCAAAACAGUGGCAAAAGAAUUAAAUAAAAACAAAACAGAACAGAAAAAUAUAACACAGAAAUUACCUGGACCUUACCUAGCAGCCACCCACAGCCCAACACUGUGCAGCCCACCUGCGCAGGCCCAGCCCACCUCCUCCCCCUUGUCUUCUUCCUCCCCUCGCACCGAAGCAGCUCGGUGGCGAGCGCCGACGCUGCCUCGGCCACCUCCUGCUUCCUCUCGUCGCCCUGGACUCCGUCCGCAACGCCACGCAGCCCCUGGCCCUUCUCACUCCCUCUGGACCGCUCCGCCUCCCCUGGCUCUCUCUUUUCCCUCUCUUCCUGUGAUCCCCGAACGCACCUGGGAGCGCCGCUCGCCGUAGCCAUGACCACGGCCACCCCCUGAUAUGGGCACGACAGAGGAGGUGAAGCCCAAUUUCAGGACUCCACCAAGCUAGGCGUGUCGUUGUUAUUUUUAAUGAUUAGAUUUUUAAUAACUGUGAGUUUUGGCCUGGUUUUGGGCCUGUCCAACCAAGUCGGGUCAAGGCCCAUUAGGCUGGGCGCCUCACCCCUCCAUAUAAGGAGCUGGGGCGCAUUAGGUUUAGGGAGUUCAGAAUUUUAGUCUAAAACUAUCGAGUUGUGUUUCCUCGGUGAAGCAUCCCUCCGGGGACGGUGAUGCCGUUUAUCUAAUAAAGAUUGCUGCGGAGGUUCUUGUGUUCAUCAAGGAUUAUCGUGCUUUGGUUUGAGGCGUGGUGAUCUUCAUCACGUUACUUGCUGGAUUUGUUUCCUCAUCUUCAGGUUACGUGGAUUACUCCCGUGAUUAGAAGUUUUUCUAUUUUAUUGUCUUGCGGUGAAAGAUCGGGCAAAAAAAACUAUAGGAUCAUCACGUUGAUCCUUAUUAUGUGGUAUCAGAUUACUGGGUUUCUCACCGCGAGUUCAUCCUGUUGAGAUUGCACUGCCGCCAGUCUGUUCUGCGGAGAGUUCUCGUGGAUCACGGUGCAAUUUGUUGUUCGGCGAGGAGAUUAGUGGCGGCAAAUUCGCGAGGGCCGAGCACGCUUGGAUCUGUGUCUCGGCGGAGAGUUCGUCUUCCAGCCAGAUCAAACUGACGGCGUCGGUGCUAUCAGUUUUCCUUGCGAUCUCGGCGAGGUUUGGUCGCUCAGAUAGGAAGGAAGCGCUGUUUUUGGUUGACUCCGGAUUUUCAGGAAGGAGAGCGAUUUGGUUGGUACGUGAUGGAGUACUAGUUUGUUUUGGAGUUUUGUGAUCAGCUUGCCGGAUUUUUAAAUUAGUUAAAUCCUAAUUAGUUAAGGCAGGAGAGAGAAGAUUCUCUUGUUUCGGUCCAUUUGGAAACCAACUCUCGGUAGAGUCGAGCUCGUGGUAAAAAAAAACUGCGAUUUUAUUAUCUGUUCGCAGGAUCGGGAAGAUGGCUUCCACAUGGUUUUCUCGGCUGGAUGAGAAUUCUAAGGAACGUGCUCGGACUGAGAUAGCUGAUAUACAAAAGAUCAUUAAAGAGAUGCGGGCGGAAUUAAAAAAGCCCACUACAGUUUUUCCAGCGUAUACUGUGCAGCAUUCCGUGAAGGUAAUUUCCAAGGACGCAUCCAUGGUGAAGAUAGAUGAUGUUAAUGACGACAAUGAGGCAAAGACAACACGUACUGGUUCUAAGGAGGACAAGGCUGAUGUUGACACGAUUUUGGUGGACGAUGUUGUACCAUUGAGUGGGCUGAAUAUGCAACUCAAGAGGGUACAUGAUGAAGCUUGCAAAACAGUUGAAAAGGGUCAGCGGUGGAGUUUAUUUCAGACUCAGUGUAUGAUUAAAGGCAAAGCAUGCAAGUUGAUGAUUGAUGGUGGUAGCUGUACUAAUGGCAUAAGCAAGGCAAUGGUGGCAUCAUUGGGGUUGUCCGCAUGGCGUAUUCCUGAACCUAAGCAUCUUGAGUGGUUGAAUAGCUGCGGUAUGCUGAAGGUUACUCAUAAAGUGCGUGUGCCAUUUACAGUUGGUGACUAUGUUGAUGUGGUAGAAUGUGAUGUGUUGCCAUUGGAGGUGUGUGGGCUGUUACUUGGACGUCCAUGGCAGUAUGAUCGCAAUGUUACACAUGCUGGGAGAGCAAAUACAUAUUCUUUUAUGCAUGAUGGCAAACAACAGACUUUGAAGCCUAUGAAGGAUGAUCAAAUAAAGUCUAAUGUGGAGCUGGUGGUACAUAAGGAGAGGUUGCGCAAGGCUAAGGCGACAAGUUUAGCUAAGCUGCAGCAUGAGGAGCAUGAUGCACAGAGCGAGAUUGUUGAUAUUGCUUCAGCUAUACCUGUAGAUGACAAGCCUAUUGUUCUUGUUAGUGACAAGUCAGUUGAAGUACAGCCUCUUUUUGAUGAGAGGAAGGAUGUUGCAGCAUGUGAUACAAUUCCAGUUUGUGUUGACACAGGUGUUCAGACUGAUGAUAUUUGUGCUGAUCAUGUCCUAGUGCAUGAGGUGCUUCGGAGCGACAAGCGCAGUUUUGUUAGCACACCUGCGAGGUGUUUUGUUGGAGCAGCAGUGCGGAUGCACAAAGGCAAGGAUGGACAUGUUCGUCAGUUGUGUGGCCCAGGCAUUACUCAUCUUUUGCAGGGUAGUGCAAAGCAGGUUCAUGUUCAGAAACAAAGGGCUCCAGCAAAGGUGGACAAGAAGAAGGUGGUGGCUCCUAUGCCCAGGCGUGUGUGGAGAAGAAAGGCACCCACAGCUGAACCAAGUCGAGCAGACCAAGAGGGAGGAUGUGGAGUGGUAGGCAGGCGAGACUUGAAGAUGACGAAGACGCGUGAUGCUUUUGUUGAUAUCACGCCACUCUUUCCAGCAGACCCUCACGCGUUGAGGACAACGCUUUUUGAAGGGGGGGAGGAUGAUAUGGGCACGACAGAGGAGGUGAAGCCCAAUUUCAGGACUCCACCAAGCUAGGCGUGUCGUUGUUAUUUUUAAUGAUUAGAUUUUUAAUAACUGUGAGUUUUGGCCUGGUUUUGGGCCUGUCCAACCAAGUCGGGUCAAGGCCCAUUAGGCUGGGCGCCUCACCCCUCCAUAUAAGGAGCUGGGGCGCAUUAGGUUUAGGGAGUUCAGAAUUUUAGUCUAAAACUAUCGAGUUGUGUUUCCCCGGUGAAGCAUCCCUCCGGGGACGGUGAUGCCGUUUAUCUAAUAAAGAUUGCUGCGGAGGUUCUUGUGUUCAUCAAGGAUUAUCGUGCUUUGGUUUGAGGCGUGGUGAUCUUCAUCACGUUACUUGCUGGAUUUGUUUCCUCAUCUUCAGGUUACGUGGAUUACUCCCGUGAUUAGAAGUUUUUCUAUUUUAUUGUCUUGCGGUGAAAGAUCGGGCAAAAAAAAACUAUAGGAUCAUCACGUUGAUCCUUAUUACCCCCUCCCCUCUCCGACGUGCUCCCGAGCUCCUGCACCUCGUCGCCAACCCCCUCACCGAGCCACGUGACCGGAAGGGCCCCGAGCAGCCGCCAUCGUCAUCAUCCCCAAGCUCCGGCCCGGCGCCGUUCUCCGUCGAAUUCGGCCACUCCGGCGCGCCCCCGAGCCCACUGACCCUCCCUACAGCUCCGCGGUGAGCCUCUGUGCAGAACCCCUCUCUCUCCCCUCGUGUUUGCGAGCCCUAGGCCAUAGUUCCGUCGAGACCGAGACCUCACCGGCGCCGGACUUGUCGCCGUCGUCGUUUUGGUUCACCUCCGUCCAAACCGAGCACGCAGACGUACUCAGAGCACUCCCAGGAGUCCGUAGCACGCCCCAGCCCCUCCUGCCGUGCUCCCUAACGCCGACUCCGAGCUCACCCGAGCUCCGGCCGCCGCCUCGCUCGCCGUCGGCACCGAUUCCGGCCGCCCCGAGUGCAACUGACUCCACCAGGAGCUUCGGCUCGUCCCCAGCUCCUCCUAGAUGCCCUCCGCGGCCCAUUUGGUCGCCGGAGUGGCCAAAACCACUCUCGCCGCCGCGCUAAUGGUCGCCGCCGGCGAAACUCCGGCAGGAGCCGACGUGGCCAGUCAUUAGGGCCUAACUACCCCGCUAACCAACCCCCUAGGCCACUGACAGUGGGCCCCAGGGCUUAGUCAGAGCUAACCAGCCCGGGUCAACGCGGGAUUAGUCCCUGUGUCACUGACCAGUGGACCCCACUGGUCAGGUUUGACCCGGGGCAGCCCUGUUGACUUGCUGACGCAAGCAUGACGCAGUGCUGAUGUUAUAAUUAAUUUUCUGGAAUUGUUUUAAUUCUAAAUAAUCAGAAAAUUCCAGAAAAUGUCUAAAACUUCUAAAAAUCAUAGAAAAUUAACCGUAACUCCAAAUUAAAUAAUUUAUAUAUGAAAAAUUAUCAGAAAAAUUCAAGGAAUCCAUCUGUACCAUUUUCAUGCAUGUUAGAACAACUUAUCACUACUGUUUAGAGCAAAUGAAGUGAAUGGCAUUUAAAUAAUCAUAUAUGAAGUUUGAAUUUGAAUCUUGUAUUCAAACCAACUUCAUUUAAUCUGGUUUUAGAUGCAUUAGCCCAAAACACAUUCAUUUUGCCAUGUCAUAGCAUGCAUCAUAUUGUGCAUUGCAUUGAUCGUGUUUUUCUGUAUUGCCGGUAUUUGCCCCCUCUCGAUAGACGUGUACCGAUGAUGUGAUCGUUGACACUAAUGAAGACUCAAUGUUAUCUUCAGAAGUGCCAGGCAAGCAAAAACCCCUUGUUCAUUCCGAUACAAUCAUACUCUCUCGCUCCUGCUCUCUUUUACUGCAUUAGGACAACACCGAUUCAUCUGUUACUUGCUGCGGUAGCUGAACCCCUUUAUCCUCUGCAUGACCUGUCAUUCCACAGUAAAUAGAUGAAACCCACUAGCAUGAGUAGGAGUUGUUUGAGCCCUGUUGUGCCUACUCAUUCAUGCUUGUUUGUCAUGCCUGCUACUGCUUAGAGUUGAGUCGGGUCUGAAUCAUCGGGGAUGAAUCAGAGGUGUGUGAACAUGUCCUACUGUGUGUGAGCUAAGUGUGUGAACACGAUUUGGUAAAGGUAGCGGUGAGAGGCCAUGUAGGAGUACAUGGUGGGUUGUCUCAUUGCAGCCGUCCUCAGGAACUGAGUUCUGUGUUUGUGAUCCAUGAUUCAGCUACUACCACGCAUUGGGCCCGAAACCAAUGGACCCUCUCGGCUUCUUAAUCACCCUUGUCCUCUGUCCAGGAGUUGCAAGUAGUUUCUGGUGUUUGUAGUAUGCUGGAGGCCGUGGACAGCGCUGACCGUAGGGGUGGGCUGUGAUGCGGUAGGCACGUGGCCGGGUAAACCGGGCACCCGUUUGGUGUCACGGAACCCUGUACACAUCGUUUGGGGCUGUGAGCGAAACUCCGGCCGGAUCUCCUCAUGGAUGGAACCUGAAUAGGCGAUAAACCUGGACUAGAGACUUGAGUGUUUAGGUAGGCCGUGGCCGACACCCACGUUGGGCUUCCGCUUGAAGGUUGUCGAGUACAUGUCGUGUAAACGACGGUAAGUGGUGAGAGCGUGUGUGAAGAAGUACACCCCUGCAGGGUUAACAUCAUCUAUUCGAAUAGCCGUGUCCACGGAGAAGGACUUCUGGGUUGCUUAUAUCAGUUCAUAGACAAGUGAAAGUGGAUACUCUAAAAUACGCAAGAUAAGCGUGAGUGCUAUGGAUGGCGUUCUCGUAGGGAGACGGGAGCGGAUCCAUAGUGGUGUAUUGAUAUGGUGAAUAUGUGGACUCGUGUGCGCCACCUCAAAAGAGUUACUCGCAGUCGUAGUUUAGGAUAGCCACCGAGUCAAAGCUGACUUGCUGCAGUUAAACCCCACCAUCCCCUUGUUGAAAAUGAUGCAUAUGUAGUUAGUUCUGAUGUAAGUCUUGCUGGGUACAUUUGUACUCACGUUUGCCUAUUUAUGUUUUGCAGAGAGACUUCGGUCUCGCUAGUAGUUCCGCGUGGACUUCGACGUUUAGCUUGUUACCUCAGCUACGAUCUUGUGCCCUCGGCAGGAUCUGAUAGAUAGUCAGGCUUCUCAGCCCUUUUCAUUUAUAGAUGUCUGUACUCAGACAUGAUAGCUUCCGCUUGUGUUUUGACUUGUAUGCUCUGAUUGUUGGGUCAUGAGACCCAUGUUUGUAAUAUCUCGCUCCUCGGAGCCUAUUGAAUAAACUACUUGAGUCGUAGAGUCAUUUUGUGAUGCCAUGUUGUAUUGCACAUAUCGAGCAUAUUGUGUGUAUGUUAUUGAAAUGCUUGGUAUGUGUGGGAUCUGACUAUCUAGUUGUUUAUCUUUAGUAGCCUCUCUUACCGGGGAAUGUCUCCUAGUGUUACCGCUGAGCCAUGGUAGCUUGCUACUACUCUGGAACACUUAGGCUGGCCGGCAUGUGUCCUUCUUUGUUCCUGUGUCUGUCCCUUCGGGGAAAUGUCACGCUUUGAGUACCGGAGUCCUGUUAGCCCGCUACAGCCCGGUUUACCGGAGUCCUGCUAGCCCAGUGCUACAGCCCGGACCCACUUGCUAAUGACCGACACGUUCGAAGCUGGGUCAUGAAUGCCUGUCCCUGUAAGUCUGUGCCACUUUGGGUUUACGACUAGCCAUGUCAGCCCGGGCUCCUUAUCAUAUGGAUGCUAGCGACACUAUCAUAUACGUGAGCCAAAAGGCGCAAACGGUCCCGGGCAAAGGUAAGACGACACCCGUGGGGAUACCGUGCGUGAGGCCGCAAAGUGAUAUGAGGUGUUACCGGCUAGAUCGAUGUGACAUCGAGUCGGGGUCCUGACAGCGUUGGUAUCAGAGCUUAACUGCCUGUAGGAUUACCAAGCCAAACUGGUCGAUGUUGAGUCUAGAAAUUCUUUAGUUAUAUAAGGGAAUUGAUUGUGGGAUGGAACGUAAGGCUCUUUUUACUCCUUAUACCUCAUGCCCUUCUGAUCUGAGUCAUCUUACCUUUUCUACGGGGAUUAAGAACUAGGCUAUCUCUUCUUUCUAUCAGGAUCACGUGUUACUAAUCCGUAGACUUAUAAGAUUGUUGGAUUUAAGUCUCAGUUCAGUUCCUACUACUUCUGUAUGUUAAUUAUUGAUCUCGAGACCUUGAUAUUGUGCUUCUGAGUGGUUAUGCCACCAUUUUUGUGAAUGUCUCAAAUCUUUUCUGAGCAUGUACAGCCGUUAUGCUGUCCGAGUCAUCCCAGGUUUCUAAGUAGUCUGAUGCAAUUGCAAAUCCUUUCUUCCUGUUUCAAUGUUCCCAUGGGCCAGAUUAACCACACUAAUCAGUGAGUUGAGGUACUCCGUUACCUUGACAUAUAUGUUGGAGAUAUUAUUAGGACCCUAGGUGUCUUAGGGGAUCAUCUAGUAAUUUAGCCAUGAUUUGUGUUCCCAGUGUGAUGAUUCUGGCCAUCAUUCUCGAAAGCAUCCCGUGAUGCCAUUUAGUAGUAGGUAUUCUAUCCCUGGGUUCUGAACCCGAGAUUCACCCUACUUGCUUCAUGUUGAUAGUUUUGCUCGUUCCUUUAGGUUAUUAGUAACCUUUGCAUUAGUCCUCGAUGUUCGUGGUAUUCCUUUCUUCCAAAUACUAUGAACCGCUUAUGGCAGAUGUUCCUCGCUGAUCGAAAGAUCACAAUCAGAGUGCUCUAGAUGGGUUCUCGAUUCUACAUUGUGACUCUGCCAGUUCUACCUUUCUGCAUGGGUUAUCCGGAAGAAAUAUGUUGAACUUGGUUCGACAUACUAUCUAUGCAUCCACAACUCAGAAAAUUAUAUGUUCCUUUGAGUUGUUCUCUUUAGUUGCAUUCUGACUUUCGUCUAUCAAUUGAUAGUCAAGAGUAUGCGUGCGUUCGUUCAUCGAUGCCUAUGACUCUUGUGGUCUGUCAAGCCAUUCUAUUUUAGAAUGAAUAGGAGAAACAAACUCCAGUACCUCUUCCAUAUCUAGGAUUGGGUCAAAGUAGUUGUAUUCCGCAGAUCAAAUGCCAAUCCAGCUUUUGGUUCUGCUCUACCUUGGAGUAUUACAUAUUUUAUAUCGAGAUUGUUAUAGGAAUUGCACACCAUCCCAUGAACUCUUGGUACAGUGACACUUCUUGCCAUCACUGUUCAUUCCUCGGCCCUCGUGUUGAUGCAACCGGAAUACCGACAAAUAAAUUGUGAUGUGUGAAAUCAAUACUGCUAGCAACUCUGUUGCUUGGUAGUUAAAGGACAAUAAUUCUAUUCUUAGUGUGUUGGUUAUUGAAUCAUCAUUCUAAGAUUGAUCGUGCUACCUAGUCCAUUCUCCCGGUUCACUCCUCGAUCGAUGAGUUAGGAUUAUUUCAAAUUCUUACUCUAUUGAUCAUAUCGUCUUGCCCUGAAAAGCAAGAUUGUUCUCGAGCUUAGUAACAUAUCGGUGGUUCGUGAUUUUCUGAAUGUCUUCUCGGAAGUAUCACCAGGUCGUCACCUGACCGUUAUGUUGAGCUCGUGAUCAAGUUGGUUUCUUGUGAACCACCCUUUCUCCAAGAUUCUGUGUUGGAUAUCCCGGAGCUAGUUGGUUAAGCUAGACAACAACUUGGAGAGUUGGAAGAUAAAAGCUUGUCUGACUUAGUUCGUUCCAAAGGGAUAUUCUUGUGUAGUGUGUGUUGAAGAAAGAUGAUAUCUUCAGCGAUUGGUCCCUGUGAUCAGUUGCUGGAUCUAUUGUCUUAUCAAUCCUUUGAUUUGAGUGUGGGCUAUCGUCAAAUCAAAUCAGAACCAACGAUAUUCGUAAUGUUGUCUUACUCGUGGUUGAUUCCUCGAGCAUACACCAUUAUAUCUUUGGUCUGACCAAUGCUAUCACCGUGUUCACUUAACUAUGGAAAUCCUUUUAAAAGGAAACCUAGAUGAAUUGUUGUUGAGCCCAUUGACAACAUCCUUAUCUCCUCCAUAACUUUGUUGAACAUUAAGCUAGUGUUGGAAAUUUUUGAAAGCAUUUGUUCAUGCUAGCUCAUGAAGCAUAUGUUUGGAUGAAGGUAGUGACUUCCUUUAAUUCAUGUGCAUCUGGUGAAAGUUGCCGCCGUGAAUUUGAGAAAGCUAGUUUUGUUUCCUUGGAAUCAUCCCAAAUCAGUCAUGCACACGUGCGAAGUAUUCUGUGGUCUGGAGACUUGCAACCUUCAUUCCAUAUGUGUCCCGAGCACACCAAGCCACUGAUUGAUUUGUUCAAGGAGAAGAAGUUCCUUCAUAAGAGCUAAUCAUAUGACUUAUGCAAGGACUUCGUUAUCCACGGUGAUGGUUCCCAACCAGAACUCGGUAGUGUUUUAUUGUAAGACUACCACGUGGUCAUGCUUGUCCGGGACAACGUGUUCACAUGUUGUAGCAGAACCAGCUUAUGUUUUGGAGCUUACUAUCAUAGUUCAUUUUCCGAGAAUCUCACAACGUCAUCUCGUCGAUUUGUGUUGCAAACUUUCAUUUUUCUUUCUAGACUUGAUGAGUCUGGGAUAUCCUGACACCAACCAGAUCUGAAUCUCAGGCAGAUGUGAUGGUUGGAACAUUUCCCAAGAACUAUAAUAUUGGUCUCUCGAUAACCGGUAAGGUGGAUGUCGUGGCCAACACACCCAUCCGGUAGACCUAUUAUUAUAGCAUCUUAUUUGAUGAAAUUGGCCACCUCCCCAUAGGGACUUCGUAGGAUUUACUCCCUCGUUGACCCUAUGGAUCUUUGUGUUCCCGAAGUCCGACUUUUACUUGAUGUUCUAGAUACCAAACCAUUUCAAUGAAUGGGGUACACUAGCACGUCAAGGAGAACAUUAGAAGCGGAGUGCUAAAUGUCUCUCGGUCGAUCAUCCAGAUUUUAUUUCCUUGGCCUCGCUAGGGUGAAAUCUGAGAAGGUGUUAUCUUCCUUUGCAUCUGCAUCCUCCAUCACCAUUCAUCAUGGUAGUAAGUUGUGUUAUCGGACCCUUGACACGGAUGUUGGUAAAACCUUGAUGAUUGUGGAAAUGCCCAAGUUCUUGAGAGCACGCACAAGCGCUACGUCUUAUCAUCGGCACUAGCUGGGAUUGCCCCAGAUUUCCUCGGUUAUGCUAUAACCACUUCAACAGUGAAUUCACUCUCUAUUGUUGGGUUCUUUCCCAGUUACCAGAAUCAUUCCCAGCAUUUGCAUUUUGUUCCCAGCUUGCACCGCCAAUGUGUCAUUCUACCAUGGGUCUCUUCCAUUUACGGUGAUAAGCAAAAUUCAUCCAUUACGUUGUCUUCAACAAGGUAAUCCACAUCAUCCAAGUUUGAGUAUGCCAUUCUAUCGAACCCCUCUAAAUGAUCGAUUAUGAUUUGCCUUAAGCUGGUAUAAAGAGUUUCAAUGAUCUCUGAAUCAAAGGUAAUUCUUUUGCCACUUAAGGGGAGAUAUCUACGAAUCACGGUUCCGAAGGUGUCUCGUUGUGGUAUCAUGGCAACUCAACUCCUCGCUACGUUGACAACCGAUUACCACCUUUUUAAGUGUGGAAUUGCUGUCCACCUAGUGAACCUUCAUCAUCUGUUUCUUUCCACCCCUCUUGAUGUGUAUCUCGUGUCUCAACCGAGAGAUGGUUCUAUGUCUCAUUCCGGGAGUUAAUCCUGAGUUGUUCGAUCUUCGAGAAGACCGAUCCUUCUAGAGUUUUCCUUUCCUCUUCUCGUCAGGAUUAGCUGAAGUUCUCAGAGCAAGACGACAAGACAAAGAUGGUGUUCAAAUCAACGUUCAACUGAAGUGCAACCUGGAUCGUGAAGAUUGUACUAGUUGCGUUCCCCUUCAUCCUACCCUACGCUUGAAUCUCGAGACGAGAUUCUUGUUUAGUGGGGGUGAGUUGUCACAUCCCUAGCUUUACCCUGGCCUUGGACUAGCUUGGUUGCUGCAUCAUGUUUAAAUUCAAAUGAAAUUUGAAUUGAGGAAUAUUGGAAGCCUCAAAACCCUAAAUAAAAGAGGGGCAAAAACCCUAGAAAUCUCAUUCAUUGCUCCAAAAUGCUCCUCUUAAAUGUUUGAUAAUUUUUGGUAAGGGUUCUGGUCCCAACCAAAAUAUUGAACAUUUUUAAGGAUUUAUUUUUGGGACUUUGAAUUUAAAUCAUUAGCUAUUUGAAUUUGAAUUAUAUUCAUAUAAUUAGAAUAUAAUUUCAAAUAUCCCUGAAAUAUUUUAUAAGCUUUUGGAAAAGUCCAUCUAGCAAUAUAAAAUACUCAGUGGAGUUUUUGGCAUUGUUUGAAUUAUUUUUAAAUUCAAAACAGUGGCAAAAGAAUUAAAUAAAAACAAAACAGAACAGAAAAAUAUAACACAGAAAUUACCUGGACCUUACCUAGCAGCCACCCACAGCCCAACACUGUGCAGCCCACCUGCGCAGGCCCAGCCCACCUCCUCCCCCUUGUCUUCUUCCUCCCCUCGCACCGAAGCAGCUCGGUGGCGAGCGCCGACGCUGCCUCGGCCACCUCCUGCUUCCUCUCGUCGCCCUGGACUCCGUCCGCAACGCCACGCAGCCCCUGGCCCUUCUCACUCCCUCUGGACCGCUCCCCCUCCCCUGGCUCUCUCUUUUCCCUCUCUUCCUGUGAUCCCCGAACGCACCUGGGAGCGCCGCUCGCCGUAGCCAUGACCACGGCCACCCCCUCCCCUCUCCGACGUGCUCCCGAGCUCCUGCACCUCGUCGCCAACCCCCUCACCGAGCCACGUGACCGGAAGGGCCCCGAGCAGCCGCCAUCGUCAUCAUCCCCAAGCUCCGGCCCGGCGCCGUUCUCCGUCGAAUUCGGCCACUCCGGCGCGCCCCCGAGCCCACUGACCCUCCCUACAGCUCCGCGGUGAGCCUCUGUGCAGAACCCCUCUCUCUCCCCUCGUGUUUGCGAGCCCUAGGCCAUAGUUCCGUCGAGACCGAGACCUCACCGGCGCCGGACUUGUCGCCGUCGUCGUUUUGGUUCACCUCCGUCCAAACCGAGCACGCAGACGUACUCAGAGCACUCCCAGGAGUCCGUAGCACGCCCCAGCCCCUCCUGCCGUGCUCCCUAACGCCGACUCCGAGCUCACCCGAGCUCCGGCCGCCGCCUCGCUCGCCGUCGGCACCGAUUCCGGCCGCCCCGAGUGCAACUGACUCCACCAGGAGCUUCGGCUCGUCCCCAGCUCCUCCUAGAUGCCCUCCGCGGCCCAUUUGGUCGCCGGAGUGGCCAAAACCACUCUCGCCGCCGCGCUAAUGGUCGCCGCCGGCGAAACUCCGGCAGGAGCCGACGUGGCCAGUCAUUAGGGCCUAACUACCCCGCUAACCAACCCCCUAGGCCACUGACAGUGGGCCCCAGGGCUUAGUCAGAGCUAACCAGCCCGGGUCAACGCGGGAUUAGUCCCUGUGUCACUGACCAGUGGACCCCACUGGUCAGGUUUGACCCGGGGCAGCCCUGUUGACUUGCUGACGCAAGCAUGACGCAGUGCUGAUGUUAUAAUUAAUUUUCUGGAAUUGUUUUAAUUCUAAAUAAUCAGAAAAUUCCAGAAAAUGUCUAAAACUUCUAAAAAUCAUAGAAAAUUAACCGUAACUCCAAAUUAAAUAAUUUAUAUAUGAAAAAUUAUCAGAAAAAUUCAAGGAAUCCAUAUGUACCAUUUUCAUGCAUGUUAGAACAACUUAUCACUACUGUUUAGAGCAAAUGAAGUGAAUGGCAUUUAAAUAAUCAUAUAUGGAGUUUGAAUUUGAAUCUUGUAUUCAAACCAACUUCAUUUAAUCUGGUUUUAGAUGCAUUAGCCCAAAACACAUUCAUUUUGCCAUGUCAUAGCAUGCAUCAUAUUGUGCAUUGCAUUGAUCGUGUUUUUCUGUAUUGCCGGUAUUUGCCCCCUCUCGAUAGACGUGUACCGAUGAUGUGAUCGUUGACACUGAUGAAGACUCAAUGUUAUCUUCAGAAGUGCCAGGCAAGCAAAACCCCCUUGUUCAUUCCGAUACAAUCCUACUCUCUCGCUCCUGCUCUCUUUUACUGCAUUAGGACAACACCGAUUCAUCUGUUACUUGCUGCGGUAGCUGAACCCCUUUAUCCUCUGCAUGACCUGUCAUUCCACAGUAAAUAGAUGAAACCCACUAGCAUGAGUAGGAGUUGUUUGAGCCCUGUUGUGCCUACUCAUUCAUGCUUGUUUGUCAUGCCUGCUACUGCUUAGAGUUGAGUCGGGUCUGAAUCAUCGGGGAUGAAUCAGAGGUGUGUGAACAUGUCCUACUGUGUGUGAGCUAAGUGUGUGAACACGAUUUGGUAAAGGUAGCGGUGAGAGGCCAUGUAGGAGUACAUGGUGGGUUGUCUCAUUGCAGCCGUCCUCAGGAACUGAGUUCUGUGUUUGUGAUCCAUGAUUCAGCUACUACCACGCAUUGGGCCCGAAACCAAUGGACCCUCUCGGCUUCUUAAUCACCCUUGUCCUCUGUCCAGGAGUUGCAAGUAGUUUCUGGUGUUUGUAGUAUGCUGGAGGCCGUGGACAGCGCUGACCGUAGGGGUGGGCUGUGAUGCGGUAGGCACGUGGCCGGGUAAACCGGGCACCCGUUUGGUGUCACGGAACCCUGUACACAUCGUUUGGGGCUGUGAGCGAAACUCCGGCCGGAUCUCCUCAUGGAUGGAACCUGAAUAGGCGAUAAACCUGGACUAGAGACUUGAGUGUUUAGGUAGGCCGUGGCCGACACCCACGUUGGGCUUCCGCUUGAAGGUUGUCGAGUACAUGUCGUGUAAACGACGGUAAGUGGUGAGAGCGUGUGUGAAGAAGUACACCCCUGCAGGGUUAACAUCAUCUAUUCGAAUAGCCGUGUCCACGGAGAAGGACUUCUGGGUUGCUUAUAUCAGUUCAUAGACAAGUGAAAGUGGAUACUCUAAAAUACGCAAGAUAAGCGUGAGUGCUAUGGAUGGCGUUCUCGUAGGGAGACGGGAGCGGAUCCAUAGUGGUGUAUUGAUAUGGUGAAUAUGUGGACUCGUGUGCGCCACCUCAAAAGAGUUACUCGCAGUCGUAGUUUAGGAUAGCCACCGAGUCAAAGCUGACUUGCUGCAGUUAAACCCCACCAUCCCCUUGUUGAAAAUGAUGCAUAUGUAGUUAGUUCUGAUGUAAGUCUUGCUGGGUACAUUUGUACUCACGUUUGCCUAUUUAUGUUUUGCAGAGAGACUUCGGUCUCGCUAGUAGUUCCGCGUGGACUUCGACGUUUAGCUUGUUACCUCAGCUACGAUCUUGUGCCCUCGGCAGGAUCUGAUAGAUAGUCAGGCUUCUCAGCCCUUUUCAUUUAUAGAUGUCUGUACUCAGACAUGAUAGCUUCCGCUUGUGUUUUGACUUGUAUGCUCUGAUUGUUGGGUCAUGAGACCCAUGUUUGUAAUAUCUCGCUCCUCGGAGCCUAUUGAAUAAACUACUUGAGUCGUAGAGUCAUUUUGUGAUGCCAUGUUGUAUUGCACAUAUCGAGCAUAUUGUGUGUAUGUUAUUGAAAUGCUUGGUAUGUGUGGGAUCUGACUAUCUAGUUGUUUAUCUUUAGUAGCCUCUCUUACCGGGGAAUGUCUCCUAGUGUUACCGCUGAGCCAUGGUAGCUUGCUACUACUCUGGAACACUUAGGCUGGCCGGCAUGUGUCCUUCUUCGUUCCUGUGUCUGUCCCUUCGGGGAAAUGUCACGCUUUGAGUACCGGAGUCCUGUUAGCCCGCUACAGCCCGGUUUACCGGAGUCCUGCUAGCCCAGUGCUACAGCCCGGACCCACUUGCUAAUGACCGACACGUUCGAAGCUGGGUCAUGAAUGCCUGUCCCUGUAAGUCUGUGCCACUUUGGGUUUACGACUAGCCAUGUCAGCCCGGGCUCCUUAUCAUAUGGAUGCUAGCGACACUAUCAUAUACGUGAGCCAAAAGGCGCAAACGGUCCCGGGCAAAGGUAAGACGACACCCGUGGGGAUACCGUGCGUGAGGCCGCAAAGUGAUAUGAGGUGUUACCGGCUAGAUCGAUGUGACAUCGAGUCGGGGUCCUGACACGGGGUGGCCCGCGGCGACGGCGUCGGGGCGGCGCGGGGUGGCGACGGCGUUGGGGCGGCGCGGGGUGGCGACGGCGUCUGGGCUCGAGGGNNNNNNNNNNNNNNNNNNNNNNNNNNNNNNNNNNNNNNNNNNNNNNNNNNNNNNNNNNNNNNNNNNNNNNNNNNNNNNNNNNNNNNNNNNNNNNNNNNNNNNNNNNNNNNNNNNNNNNNNNNNNNNNNNNNNNNNNNNNNNNNNNNNNNNNNNNNNNNNNNNNNNNNNNNNNNNNNNNNNNNNNNNNNNNNNNNNNNNNNNNNNNNNNNNNNNNNNNNNNNNNNNNNNNNNNNNNNNNNNNNNNNNNNNNNNNNNNNNNNNNNNNNNNNNNNNNNNNNNNNNNNNNNNNNNNNNNNNNNNNNNNNNNNNNNNNNNNNNNNNNNNNNNNNNNNNNNNNNNNNNNNNNNNNNNNNNNNNNNNNNNNNNNNNNNNNNNNNNNNNNNNNNNNNNNNNNNNNNNNNNNNNNNNNNNNNNNNNNNNNNNNNNNNNNNNNNNNNNNNNNNNNNNNNNNNNNNNNNNNNNNNNNNNNNNNNNNNNNNNNNNNNNNNNNNNNNNNNNNNNNNNNNNNNNNNNNNNNNNNNNNNNNNNNNNNNNNNNNNNNNNNNNNNNNNNNNNNNNNNNNNNNNNNNNNNNNNNNNNNNNNNNNNNNNNNNNNNNNNNNNNNNNNNNNNNNNNNNNNNNNNNNNNNNNNNNNNNNNNNNNNNNNNNNNNNNNNNNNNNNNNNNNNNNNNNNNNNNNNNNNNNNNNNNNNNNNNNNNNNNNNNNNNNNNNNNNNNNNNNNNNNNNNNNNNNNNNNNNNNNNNNNNNNNNNNNNNNNNNNNNNNNNNNNNNNNNNNNNNNNNNNNNNNNNNNNNNNNNNNNNNNNNNNNNNNNNNNNNNNNNNNNNNNNNNNNNNNNNNNNNNNNNNNNNNNNNNNNNNNNNNNNNNNNNNNNNNNNNNNNNNNNNNNNNNNNNNNNNNNNNNNNNNNNNNNNNNNNNNNNNNNNNNNNNNNNNNNNNNNNNNNNNNNNNNNNNNNNNNNNNNNNNNNNNNNNNNNNNNNNNNNGUUUUUUGCUUUAUUUUUUAAUUCUUUUUGCUUUCAGUUUUAGAAAAAUUAUAAACUUUCUGUUAGUGCCAUUAGUUUUCAAAUCUGAAAACUCUUUUUUUGUUUCCUUUGUUGCUUUAUUUAUUUUAUUUUGUUUCUACUUACAACAAAAUACUUAUUGUUGCUAUUUUUUUAGUUUUUUGUUCUGUUUUCUGCAUUAUUUAUUUUUUGUUGUUUUUUGCUUUAUUUUUUAAUUCUUUUUUGCUUUUAGUUUUAGAAAAAUUAUAAACUUUCUGUUAGUGCCAUUAGUUUUCAAAUUUGGAAACUCUUUUUUUGUUUUUUUUGUUGCUUUAUUUAUAAACCGGUGCGAGCGCCCUUCGGUUGGCGAGGUUUUAAAAUUCAUAGUUUUCAAAUGAACUCUGAAAAAGUUGGCAUAGCAUGUGCAUGUACAAAACGGACAAUGGUAUCAUACUCGUCUGUUACAAAGUUGGCAUGUUAUCAUCAUAAUAGUUGCGGGAGAAAGUCUUCACUUUUUCUUCGCUUGUGUCGUUUGCUUAUUGCGCCGUAACCAUGGAUAAUCUUCAUCGUUUAUCAGGAUGCUUGGGUCAGCCUUGACUUUGAAGGGGGGAAUUUCAUGAAACUUUUCAUACUCUUCAGACAUGUCUGUCUUGCCCUCCACUCCCAGGAUGUCCCUUUUUCCUGAAAGAACUAUGUGGCACUUUGGCUCAUUGUAUGAUGUAUUCGCUUCCUUAUCUUUUCUUUUCCUCGGUCUGGUAGACAUGUCCUUCACAUAGAUAACAUGUGCCACAUCAUUGGCUAGGACGAACGGUUCGUCAGUGUACCCAAGAUUUUUCAGAUCCACUGUGGUCAUUCCGUACUGUGGGUCUACCUGUACCCCGCCUCCUGACAGAUUGACCCACUUGCACUUAAACAAAGGUACCUUAAAAUCUAUUCCGUAGUCAAGUUCCCAUAUGUCUGCUAUGUAACCAUAAUAUGUGUCAUUUCCAUUGUCGGUUGCUGCAUCAAAGCGGACACCGCUAUUUUGGUUGGUGCUCUUUUCAUCUUGGUCAAUCGUGUAAAAUGUAUUCCCAUUUAUCUCGUAUCUUUUCCAAAUCAUUACAGUCGAAGAUGGUCCCCUGGACAACAAGUACAGCUCAUCACAAAUAGUGCUGUCACCUCUGAGACGUGUUUCCAACCAACUGCUGAAAGUCCUGAUGUGUUCACAUGUAAUCCAGUCGUCGCACUGCUCCGGGUGUUUGGAGCGCAGACUGUUCUUGUGUUCGUCGACAUACGGGGUCACCAAGGUAGAGUUCUGUAGAACUGUAUAGUGUGCUUGAGACCAAGAAUAUCCGUCCCUGCAUAUUAUUGAGUCCCUUCCAAGCGUGCCUUUUCCAGUCAGUCUCCCCUCAUACCGCGAUUUAGGGAGACCUAUCUUCUUAAGGCCAGGAAUGAAGUCAACACAAAACCCGAUGACAUCCUCUGUUUGAUGGCCCAUGGAGAUGCUUCCUUCUGGCCUAGCGCGGUUACGAACAUAUUUCUUUAGGACUCCCAUGAACCUCUCAAAGGGGUACAUAUUGUGUAGAAAUACGGGUCCCAGAAUGACAAUCUCGUCGACUAGAUGAACUAGGACGUGCGUCAUGAUAUUGAAGAAGGAUGGUGGGAACACCAGCUCGAAACUGACAAGACAUUGCGCCACAUCACUCCUUAGCGUUGGUACGAUUUCUGGAUCGAUCACCUUCUGAGAUAUUGCAUUGAGGAAUGCACAUAGCUUCACAAUGGCUAGUCGGACGUUUUCCGGUAGAAGCCCCCUCAAUGCAACCGGAAGCAGUUGCGUCAUAAUCACGUGGCAGUCAUGAGACUUUAGGUUCUGAAACUUUUUCUCUGGCAUAUUUAUUAUUCCCUUUAUAUUCGACGUGAAGCCAGUCGGGACCUUCAUACUGAGCAGGCAUUGAAAGAAUAUUUCUUUCUCUUCUUUCGUAAGAGCGUAGCUGGCAGGACCUUUAUACUGCUUCGGAGGCAUGCCCUCUUUUUCGUGCAAGCGUUGCAGGUCCUCUCGUGCCUCAGGUGUAUCUUUUGUCUUCCCAUACACGCCCAAGAAGCCUAGCAGGUUCACGCAAAGGUUCUUCGUCACGUGCAUCACGUCGAUCGAAGAGCGGACCUCUAGGUAUUUCCAGUAGGGUAGGUCCAAAAAUAUAGAUUUCUUCUUCCACAUGGGUGCGUGAUUCUCAGCGUCAUUCAGAACAGCUAGUCCGCCGGGACCCUUUCCAAAGAUUACGUGUAAAUCAUUGACCAUAGCAAGUACGUGAUCACCGGUACGCAUGGCGGGCUUCUUCCGGUGAUCUGCCUCGCCUUUGAAAUGCUUGCCUUUCUUUUGACAUUGAUGGUUGGUCGGAAGAAAUCGACGAUGGCCCAGGUACACAUUCUUCCUGCAGCUUGCCAGGUAUAUACUAUCGGUGUCAAGUAAACAGUGCGUGCAUGCGUGGUAUCCCUUGUUUGUCUGUCCUGAAAGGUUACUGAGAGCGGGCCAAUCAUUGAUGGUCACGAACAGCAACGCCUUUAGGUUAAAUUCCUCCUGUUUGUGCUCAUCCCACGUACAUACACCGUUUCCAUUCCACAGCUGUAAAAGUUCUUCAACUAAUGGCCUUAGGUACACAUCAAUGUCGUUGCCGGGUUGCUUAGGGCCUUGGAUGAGAACUGGCAUCAUAAUGAACUUCCGCUUCAUGCACAUCCAAGGAGGAAGGUUAUACAUACAUAGAGUCACGGGCCAGGUGCUGUGAUUGCUGCUCUGCUCCCCGAAAGGAUUAAUGCCAUCCGCGCUUAAAGCAAACCAUACGUUCCUUGGGUCCUUUGCAAACUCAUCCCAGUACUUUCUCUCAAUUUUUCUCCACUGCGACCCGUCAGCGGGUGCUCUCAACUUCCCGUCUUUCUUACGGUCCUCACUGUGCCAUCGCAUCAACUUGGCAUGCUCUCCGUUUCUGAACAGACGUUUCAACCGUGGUAUUAUAGGAGCAUACCACAUCAUCUUCGCAGGAACCCUCUUCCUGGGAGGCUCGCCGUCAACAUCACCAGGGUCAUCUCGUCUGAUCUUAUACCGCAAUGCACCGCAUACCGGGCAUGCGUUCAGAUCCUUGUAGGCACCGCGGUAGAGGAUGCAGUCAUUAGGGCAUGCAUGUAUCUUCUCAACCUCCAAUCCUAGAGGGCAUACGACCUUCUUUGCUGCGUAUGUACUGUCGGGCAAUUCGUUAUCCUUUGGAAGCUUCUUCUUCAUUAUUUUUAGUAGCUUCUCAAAUCCUUUAUCAGGCACGGCAUUCUCUGCCUUCCACUGCAGCAAUUCGAGUACGGUACCGAGCUUUGUGUUGCCAUCUUCGCAAUUGGGGUACAACCCCUUUUUGUGAUCCUCUAACAUGCGAUCGAACUUCAGCUUCUCCUUUUGACUUUCGCAUUGUGUCCUUGCAUCGACAAUGACCCGGCGGAGAUCAUCAUCAUCGGGCACAUCGUCUGGUUCCUCUUGAUCUUCAGCAGCUUCGCCCGUUGCAGCACCAUCGUGCACAUCGUCUGGUGCAUCUUGAUGUUCAGUAGCAUCACCGUAUUCAGGGGGCACAUAGUUGUCAUCGUACUCUUCUUCCUCGCCGUCUUCCAUCAUAACCCCUAUUUCUCCGUGCCUCGUCCAAACAUUAUAGUGUGGCAUAAAACCCUUGUAAAGCAGGUGGGUGUGAAGGAUUUUCCGGUCAGAGUAAGACUUUGUAUUCCCACAUAUAGGGCAUGAACAACACAUAAAACCAUUCUGCUUGUUUGCCUCAGCCACUUCGAGAAAAUCAUGCACGCCCUUAAUACACUCGGAGGUGUGUCUGUCACCGUACAUCCAUUGCCGGUUCAUCUACGUGCAUUAUAUAUAAUUAAGUGUGUCAAAAAUCAUUACAGAACAUCAUGAAUAGAUAAUUAAGUGACCAAAUUAAUAGAAGUUCAUCAUCACAUAAAAACCAAAGUAGAUACAUAGUUCUCAUCUAACAACAUAAAGCUCUGCAGAGCAUCUAAAUUAAUUAAACCAUACAUUGAAACUAUGUAAAACAUUUCAAUGCGAAAACAAAUGCGAUCAUAAUCGCAACCAAGGUAACAACUGAUCCAACGGCAUAAUGAUACCAAGCCUCGGUAUGAAUGGCAUAUUUUCUAAUCUUUCUCAUCUUCAAGCGCAUUGCAUCCAUCUUGAUCUUGUGAUCAUCGAUGACAUCCGCAACAUGCAACUCCAAUAUCAUCUUCUCCUCCUUAAGUUUUUUUAUUUUUUCCUUCAAGAAAUUGUUUUCUUCUUCAACUAAAUUUAACCUCUCGACAAUAGGGUCGGUUGGAAUUUCCGGUUCAACAACCUCCUAGAUAAAUAAAAUCUAGGUCACGUUGGUCGGCAUAAUUUUCAUAAACAAUAAAUGAACCAAUAGUUAUGAAAAGAUAAUAUAUAUCACAUCCGAAUCAUAGACAUGACGAGGGCCGACGGGGGCGGAUACCAAAACCAUCGGCGCACUAUAUAAGAUGCAAUAAUAAAAGUAAGAAAAUAAUACAAGUAUCUAUCUAAACAAACAAGUAAUAACAUUUUUCCUUUCAGAAAGAAGAUAAGAACAAGAGGCUCACCACGGUGGUGCCGGCGAUGAGAUCGGCGCGGGUGAUCGACGGCGGUGAAGACGGGGACGGGGCGUGACAGAGCGCUAAACCUAGAUAAAUAUUGAGGAAAAUGGAGCUUGGCGGUCGAGCUUGGAGAGGAGAAACCUUAAGUAGUGUGGCUCGGGCAUACCAUCGAACACCUUGUGUGCAUAGGAGGUGAGCUAGAGCACCACCAAGCCUUCUCCCCCUCGGCCAGAAAAAACAGAGCAGUGUGCUCUGCUCUUGCGCGAGGGGCUAUAUAUAGGCAGAACCAUUGGUCCCGGUUGGUGGCAUGAACCGGGACUACAGGUAACCCUUUGGUCCCGGUUAAUGCCACCAACCAGGACCAAUAGUGGUGGGCCAGGAGCCAGGACCAUUGGUCCCGGUUCGUCCCACCAACCGGGACCAAAAGGUUCGGACGAACCGGGACCAAUGGCCCACGUGGCCCGGCCGUCCCCCUGGGCUCACGAACCGGGGCAAAUAGCUCCAUUGGUCCCGGUUCUGGAUUGAACCGGGACUAAUGGGCUAAACUGGCCUGGACGAAAGCCCUGUUUUCUACUAGUGUAACAUGGUAAUUCCAUUACUACAUCCAUGUGGUAAAUCGAUCGUAAAAAAGGGCAAAAAUGUAGUAAUGUCAUUACUAUCUACCCUAACAGUAAAUCGUUGGUAACAGAGAAAAAUCUAGUAACGCCAUUACUACAUACCUCCUUAAAUCGAUAGUAACAAAGGUAAAAAUAUGUAGUAAUGUCAUUACUACCUACCUCAUGGUAGCUAAUACCAACCAACUUGUACUGAGUCUGCACGGAAUAGUAACAACAUUACUUGCAUUGACUGUCCACAUAUGGUUGCUAGUAACGAUAUAUAUAUAUGUUCGCUAAACUGAGCCUGGGCGUAUGAUAAGUUUAACGUACUCUCCGGCCACCCACUGGUGCGAGCGCGCAGUCUAACCCAACCUCCCUCCUCCGCUCAUGAGUCUCCCUUGGCAAGAGCCACUUAUUGGAUCAUAAUUAAUCGUGGUAAUGUCGUAACGAAUAAAAUAACUGGGCAGCCUGUAGUGUGCUCCAAGCCCAUCGUAAAUUAGAUAAUGAUACGUAGUAACCGGUUACUACAUGGUAACACAGUUACCAUCACUACACGGUUUCACAAUUACCAUCAUUACAUAGUAAUGUGUUACUACAUGAUUACAAGAGGAAGGCACUUGUAGUAAAUAUUACAUAUAUUACCAUGUUUCAUAGGUUUACGAUGCUACAGACUGAACGCUAGUUCAUCCAAAGUGGUAAAGCAUUACCAUUUCAUCAACCAAUUUUACUGUCAAAAUUAGCGACGGUUGUAAGCAGGACAUACAUGAACCAGUAAAGCAUUACUGUUUCUUCUAUGAAUUUUACCUUCGUUCAUGAGCGGAUGAGGAGGUUAGAGCGGCCUGCCUAAUUAGGACCUGCGCGUAUGAUAAGGAAUUAUGCGCGCUCGCGCAAUUUAGCGCUACCGUAAAUGACGAAUAUUACUCCCUUGAAGCUAAAAUUGAUGAUUAAGCAAACUAGUACUAGACUAGAGCAGAAGGUCAGAAAUGUGCUCAUUCGACACAUGUGUUCUGUUGAAGUGGCACCUGCAGUUUGACCUUUUUGAAAUGGUCGAUGCUUUUUUUUGAAAGUUGUAGCUCUGUGCUUAUGUGUUUCUAGAUUUUCAUUAAUACAUUUUUAAAGAAUUCUAUUGUGCCUGUAUGCAGUUGAAGAGUCAAGGAGUUCAAAGCGCUGUUUUUGCAUGUUAACUGUGAUGGUGAAGUAAUGACUUAUAGUUUCGUCUUGCUCAAACCCGCACAACGAACAUGGUAGAAGGAACUGCAAAACACAAAAUAAAAAGAAAACAUUUGGAAAUCUGCUUAUAUUUAGAAACAUAAAAUAAAAAGACAUUUUGCAUAACAUAUACGCAAUUUGUGUUUUGUUUUUGAAACAGCUAAUCUCCUUACCAUGUUAUAAUCUUGCAGUUUUUCUUCUUCUUGCAUGUUGAAAAACGAUCUGAGCCUUGCAGGUAGUAACUUUUUUGUAAUGUGUUGUUGAUCAUUAUUUUUGUAGCACAUUGGAUCUUCGUCGUCGGCUUCCCUUAUUGAGUGAUGUUUGUUUCGUCACAGAUAUACAAAGGGAAUUUGUCAGUUCAGCUAUAGGGGAAGUUUAUCUAUUUAUAAAGUCAUAUAUAUUGUUUUAAACGUGAUUCUUUUGCCGUGAUAUUUACUUACAGUGCUGCUUAACGACAGAAUCUUUCUCCGUAUGUCAUUGAGUUGUUUUCUCAAGAUUGUUAGCAUGGGCUCGAUUGCUUCAGUGCGUACUGAUUUACCGACCUUGAAGCUUUCGGAGACAUGGCCUAGAUUUACAUCAAACUUGUUCGUUGUAAUGAAAAAUUGAUCCCUGCAAAGUAUAUUUAGAAAAAUGUUUUAGUUCACACAUGAUACAGUCAAAAUGAUCGUGUGUAAAAAUGUUUUCUGUGUUAGUUGCAUGAACUUACAUUUCCCUCUUUGUCCAUGGCUUGCAUACAACGUUGUACAGGUCAUCGAUGUCUUUGUUGACGGAAUCGCUAUCUUUGCCCCCUUUCUCCAUUGUGCCUGCGAUGAUUUUGAAUUUAAUGUAAAUAAUUCCAAGUCACAAAGAUCACAAGAUAGCAAUUAUUUUUCUAUUGUCUUGCCUGCUUCGAUGUUGGAAGAUAUGUCAUGUCCAGUGUUGUUCUUUUAUUGUUCUCCUUCUGCUUCCUGCGGCAUAUUUUGUUCUUCUUUUCGCGUUGUACCCUUUUGUUCAGAUUCUGCUCCAUCCUUAUUUGAGUCGUCUGCUCCAGAAAUAUUUAUCGAAGAAAUUGAUAUAUCUAGACAUAUUGUAGUACACAUCCACUUUUAUUCGUUUCUUCGACGAAUAUUUAUGGACAGAGGGAGUACUCAAUAAGAAUUUUUUUUCUCUAACCCUAGACAGCUAGAGCGAACUCUCGAGCAACAAUCCUAUGGAUUAGCCUCUCUCUGCCUGUUGCUCUGUCGGUCGAUGGCGGGAAGAGGAAUCCUGAUGCAUUCGCUCCGGUUUGUAGUUUAGGUUUGGUUUUUUAGCCCUCGCAGUUGCGACGCUCGGGUGGAUGAUGACACUUCUUCUUUGAGUUUGCCUUCCAGACUCCGAUCCUCCUCGAGUUCGUACGUCUGGGUGUAAUCGGUAGAGCUCCGACGUAGAUUCAUGUCGUCUUCUUGGGGCGGUGAGGUUGGGUUUCUCGUCAUGUGGUGAGAUUUGAUGUUAGCUGCUUCAGAUCUAUGUCAAGAUUCAACGGUGGCGACUGUGGCUCCAAGGUGUUGGUCCUUUGGCACGUGCAUGAAGACUUUCGAACUGUCUACAAUGUCAAGUCGACUCCGGCAGGGAAGCGACGACAUCGGUGCAUCGGCGACUCAUUUUGGCGGCAAUAAUGGUCGUUCGAUAGUCUCAAAAUUUUAAUAUAAUUUUUAUUAUGUUUGAGAUGCUUUGUACUUUCGAUGAACUUUUACAAUAGAUUCUAUCAUUUUAGGAAAAAAAUGUUAGUUUGUCCUCAUUUUCCAGGAUUUCGAUGAGUUACACAAUGCAUAGGUGUUGUAGUUUGAUGGGGCCGUAUCUGGCCGUGUAUGGACGCGACAUUUGCUGCCCACCUCUAGAGUUGCUGCACUCAUACGUGCUUGCUCCGAUUACAGACAGAAAAAAAAAUCUUUUAGCCUAAGUUAGGAGCUACAAAUAAUGUACCUAUGGAAUCAAAAACAUACAGUAGUUCAAUAAUGAUGGCAGUAGACGCGGCGUCGGACCACGGGAGCACCUAUGUGACGCAUUUUGCGUCAAAAGGACGUUCUUUCGCACAAGCUGUGCGCGACAGGGCCGGCCCAUUGAACUCACUCAAGCAGUCGGGACAAAAAUGGGUAAAAAGAAAAGAGCGCCCAUGUGGAAUUAGAACUACAGACCACUAGUUUGUGAACGCGUCGUGCUAACCACACCAUCUACUAAGCCUUCAUGACAAAUGUGUGGCCCGAAUUCAAAUGAACUAAAAACAGCGGCAUAAAUUGAGCAUUGCGUAAAAAUGUAAACACUUUUUUGAAAUUACGAAUACUUUUUGGCAAACGUGAACCAAAAUUUUAAUUUUCGAACAUCUUUUGGAACUGCAAAGAAAUUAUAAAUUUCCGAACAUUUUUUGAAAUUGUAAAAAAAACUUGAAAUUGUUUACAUCGUUUGAAAUAUAAACAAUUUUCUAUAACACAAAUAUUUUAAAAUUUCCCGAACUUUUUUUGUAAAAUAUAAAAAACCGAGUUGGUGAUGAUGGUGUGCCUGCCAUCUUGUAUUAUAGACCGUUCGAUCUAUAUCUGACGGAUAGAAAACAAACUAUGACAAUUUUACAAAAAUACCCGCACCUCUCAUCGCAUUUACAGAUAAGGCCUUGCCUCGUUCAUCCUUAUCUUCCACAACCUCAUUGCUGAGCAAUUAAAAAAAGAAGUCUCUGAAACAAUCUGGCAUGGUGACCGUUGCUGCUUGCCGGCGCCGUCCAUCCCCAUGCCUUCGCCCAGUCCGACCACCAGUCACCAUCACGCGCCCACUCCUCCUCACCUUAUCUCUCGUCUUUCUCGAGAUAUCAUUUUCUCGAUGAAAUUCCCGAGAUACCAUUUUCCCGAUGAAAUUCUCAAGAUACCAUUAGUUUUUACACAUGGGAUUUCUCCUGUAUGGGUCAAUCACAAUAGGUGUUUUAUAAAAAAUAAUGCAUCUUGAUGUUCCGUGCAAUGAACGAGCAUCUUGCUAGUUUUUGUAAAACAUAAUAAUUUUGCAACUUCCAGAACAUAAUGAAAAGGCCACCAUUUUUUAAUUGGUGAACAACAUAUGAAAAUGGGUGCAAUCUUUGAAAUGCAGAAAAAUAUUUUGAAUCUGAGAACAAUUUAAAAUCUUGAAGAUUUUUUGUACACGCGAACAAAAAUUGAAAAUGGAAACAUAUUUUGUAAAAUGUGUACAAAUUCUCCAAUUCUGCAGCAUUUUUGGAAAACACGAAUAAUUUUUAAAAUUGGCGAACAAAUUUUGAAAACAGGUACAAGUUUUGAAAUGAAAAAUAAAAUUUUGAACCUGUGAACAAUUUGAAAAUGCUGAAGAUUUUUUAUAUAUGUGAAUAAAAAAUUGAAAAUGGAAACAUUUUUUAAAAAUUCAUUUUAUUUGUAAAGCACGAGUUUUUUUCCAAAAUAUUUAUUGAAAAUGCAAGGAUUUUAUAAAUUUGCGAGUAAAAUUUGAAAUAGUGUACAACUUUUCAAAUAGAAUUUCUUUUUGAAUCGGAUAUAAUUUUAAAAUCCCAAAUAUUUUUUGUAUUAGCAAAAAUAUUGGAAAAUGGCAACAUUUUCUGAAAAUUUGUGAGUAAAUUUUGGAAAACAUGAACAUUUUCUAAAAAUCCGAGAUUUUUUUGAACGUGUGAACACAAUUGAAAAACGUAAAAGUUUUCUGAAUUUGCGAACAAAUUUUGAAAAUGGGAACAGUUUUCAAAUUUUGUGAACAAUUUUUUAAAAUGGUAACAUAUUUGAAAAUUCCUAAGCAAUAUCUAAUACGUGAACAACAUUUUAGAAUGCGAACAUUUUUUAAAUUUUGUACAAAUUUUGAAACUUGAAUGCAUUUUGAACAUUUUAACAAAUUUUGAAAACAGGAACAUAUUUCUUAAAACCGAACAUUUUUUGGUUUGUGAACAAAUUUAAAAAGUUGAAGAAUUUUGCAAAAUUUGAACAUUAUUUGAAAAUAAGCGAACAACUUUUGAAAUUCUAAACUUUUAUGAAAUUUCUGAACAAAAACUUGAAAACAUAAUCAUUUUUUGAAAAAACGAACAAAAUAUGACAAUUUCAAUUUUUAGAAAAUUUCUGAAACAUUCGUUCAAAAUAGAAAAAAAUAAAAAAAGAGAGCAAGAAGAUAGAAAAAAUGAAACAGAAAAAGAUAGAGAAAAACGAAAAGGAAAUAAAAUAAAAUGUAAAAAUAAAAAUAAAUAGAAAAGAAAAACCGGUUCAGGAACCUUCUACAAUGUUCCUUAAACCGGAAAAAACCCGCCUAGGAACAUUCAUAGAAGGUUCCUAGAAUCGUUAUGGUUGGAACGUGUAACAGGCCGGUCCACCUGCGAGCGCUCCGUCGAUAGGUGUGCGGAACCCCGAUAGGAUAUUCCGUAACUGCCAUCAUCCGCCAGAGCAGAGGUGGAUAUGCAUAUAGAGAGGAGCUGGGGGAGAGAAGUAGGGGGGAUGGGGCUACGACGGAGGCAUGACAGGCGGCCAGUCCACUGGCGGAGCUAGGUUAUGGCCGAAUGGCCAUGGCCCACCCACAUUUUUAUAAAAAUCAUAAAACUAUACAUAGGCCCAGCCCAUAAAGUACAGAGUACUAUAAAGGCAGCGACAAGAUUUAGCAUCAACUUCAGCCCGGCCCGCCCACCUUUCUAUUUGUAGCUCCGCCACUGGGCCAGUCGCGGCCAGGCGGCAGCGGCAGUGAAGCGGAAGGAUGGUUUGGUGCGAGAUUUGGGCGUUUCCUAUUUGGCGCUGCAGGCGCCAGUUAUAGCUCAUUUUGCAAACUGGCGCCUGCAGUGCUGGGAGCUGGGCCGGCCCAUCUAAGAUUUCCUGUUUUUCAAAACGAAAAAGAAGUACGCAUUGCGAGUUGAACAGGUGAUCUCCUCCCGCGAGCUACAAUGCACCAAUCACCCCGCCACCAGACCUCACAUGACAAAUUUCAUAUUUCCAUUCUUUUCAUCUUUCCUCUUUUCUUUCCUUCUUUUUCUUCUUUUUUAUUCUUCCAGGUUCGCAUACUUUUUUGUUAAAGUGGACAAACUUUUUAAAAAUUUGUGAACUUAUUUUCAAAUUUGAUGAACUAUUUUUCAAUUUUGAUGAACUUUUUAUUAAAUUGAUGAACAUUUUUUCAAAUUCGAUGAACUUUUUUCCAAUUUCGAUUAACUUUUUCCAAAUCGAUGAUUUUUUUUUCAUUUUUAUGAACUUUUUUCUAAAUCAAUGAACUUUCUUCAAAAUCACCGAACUUUUUUCAAAAUCAGUGAACUAUUUUUCAAAUUUGAUGAUUUUUUUUCAAAAAACGAUGAACUUUUUGUUGAAAAUCUGUGAACUUUUUUUUCAAAAAUUCAUGUACUUUAUCCUAAUUUGUGAACUUUUUUCAAAUUCGUGAUUUUUUCUCAAGUCCACGAUUUACUUCAGUUUGUACACACCUUUUUCAGUUUGAUACACUUUCUUAAAAUUCACGUUUUUAUAUGGUGCAUCCAUUUUUUAUUUUAUCAUAAAAUAAUACGCAUAAUAGGCUGGGUAUGAAAUAAGGUUUGUUUGUCCUUAGAUAGUUCAGCUAAGGAAGUACGGCAUAGUGGUUGUGUUCGAAGGUUUGGCUACAAGCGGGCCAAACCCUGCGCGAUGGGCCGGCCCAUUUAUCCAUAUUAUUCUGUUUCAGAACUGCAAAGAUUUUGAUGAACUUUUUAUUAAAUUGAUGAACAUUUUUUCAAAUUCGAUGAACUUUUUUCCAAUUUCGGUUAACUUUUUCCAAAUCGAUGAUUUUUUUUUCAUUUUUAUGAACUUUUUUCUAAAUCAAUGAACUUUCUUCAAAAUCACUGAACUUUUUUCAAAAUCAGUGAACUAUUUUUCAAAUUUGAUGAUUUUUUUUCAAAAAAUGAUGAACUUUUUGUUGAAAAUCUGUGAACUUUUUUUUCAAAAAUUCAUGUACUUUAUCCUAAUUUGUGAACUUUUUUCAAAUUCGUGAUUUUUUCUCAAGUCCACGAUUUACUUCAGUUUGUACGCACCUUUUUCAGUUUGAUACACUUUCUUAAAAUUCACGUUUUUAUAUGGUGCAUCCAUUUUUUAUUUUAUCAUAAAAUAAUACGCAUAAUAGGCUGGGUAUGAAAUAAGGUUUGUUUGUCCUUAGAUUCAGCUAAGGAAGUACGGCAUAGUGGUUGUGUUCGAAGGUUUGGCUACAAGCGGGCCAAACCCUGCGCGAUGGGCCGGCCCAUUUAUCCAUAUUAUUCUGUUUCAGAACUGCAAAAAACUGCGGUCGGUGACACUCGAACUCGCGCGCUCUGCCUUUUAGCUUAGCUGCGCUAGCCAACUUCGCAACUACCUUGCUCUGAUUCGUGAGAUCCUUUUUCUUUUAUUGUAUCUACCUUUCUUUUUCUUUUAUUUCUAUUUCCCCGUUUCCUUUUUCGUAUUCCUUUUCCCAAAAUGCAUGAUUUAAAAAAACACUGAACUUUUUAUUCAAAAACCUCGAUAAACGUUUUUUAAAAUUCAAUGAACUUUUUUCGUGAACUUCCUAAUUCGUAAACUCGAUGAACUUUUUUUGUAGUUCAAUUAACUUUUUUCAAAUGUGAUGAACUUUUUUCAAAUUCGGUGAACUUUUAUUCAAUGAACUUUUUUGAAUUUCAAUGAACGUUUUUUAAAAUUCAAUGAACUUUUUUCGUGAACUUUCUAAUUUGUAAACUCUAUGAACUUUUUCUAAAAUUCGAUUAACUUUAUUCAACUUUGAUGAACUUUUUUCAAAUUCGGUGAACUUUUAUUUGAUGAACGAUUUUGAAUUUCGAUGAACUUUUUUGAAUUUCAAUGAACAUUUUUGAAUUUCAAUGAACUUUUUUGAAUCUUGGUGAAUAUUUUUUCAAAUCCGGUGAAACUUUUCAAACUUCAUGAACUAGUUUUUUCAAAUUCAAAGAACUAUUUUUAAACUUGAUGACAUUUUUUCCUAUUCGUUGAACUGUUUUUAAAAUUUUCAAUUUUCUGAAUCAAUGAACUUUUUACAAAUUUCUGUACCUUUUUGAAUUCAAGAACCGGAGGCCGUUUUUUUCCUGAACAAACAAAACAAUAAAGAAAAAAAAACGAGCUGAUUUGAUCGAGCGAACGAACAGAAGCUGAAAGGAAACGAAGCGAGGGAGCGAUCUUAUUAUGGGCCGGCCCAUGAAGGCGCCUGCGUGGGCGCCGCUUGCUCCAAGUGGCGCUUAAGGCGCUGUCGAGGAGGUCUCAGCGGGCGGUGGGUGUUCAAAUCCCUGGUCUAUCACACUUUUUGCUAUCCGCGCUCUUCACUGCGUUUCCUGGGCCGGCCCACUACGCCAGGCGUGCGAGCGCCAGUAUCGCUAGCCAGCGCCUGCAGCGCCGAACAGGAGCUCCCCCGAGAUUUGCUACUGCUCCUUUUGGUUCGGUUACGCAACGGACAAAUACCUGCCGAGGAAGAGCAAGCGGUCAAAAAGGCUUCAAGAAGACUCUAGUUAAGUUUUUCCUUUUUUUUGAAACUGAAGACUCUUGUUAAGUGGUGAAGGGAACGUGGCAAAAAUGGACCAGGGAGCAACGUCACCGGCCCAGCGCUGGAAUUGCACGGGAGGAACCCCUGCUUAGCCAACUUGUAUCUUGUCUAACCUAUAAACCUCGCUAGAAUACCCGCGUAACUGGAGGCAUCGCUCGCGCCCAACGUUUUUGACCGCUCGAUUGAAUUACAACAGUGAUUUUUUGGCUGCUGGCGGCUGGUCAACCGUCCACUGUUUUUCACGUUUAAGACUGUGUCAAGAGAGAAUGACGGGUGGGGUCAUGAGCCAAUGGGGGCCAUCCAGCAGAGGGAGGGUUUCCUGGAGCCCAGGUCAAUGAUUGGCUGAAUGUGGGUUGUUCCCGAUUGGCCAGGACCAAUCCUCGACGACAGUCAGGACCAAUCCCCUCCCGAAAACCUAGCACGCUCGGGGCCAAUCCUCUCCGUCCUCGAGCCCCUCUUCUUCUCCCUCCACGGAGUAUUUAACCAAAAACUACCACAAUUCACGGAACCGUGACGAAAAACUACCACUUUACGAUUUUGUGCGAAAAACUACCACUUUUUUCCUAAACCGUGGCAAAAAACUACCAAGUCUGAAAAGAGCCCGAUUUGGCUCUUUUAAGUGCGUUUCUGACAGAGUUGGCCCACACAUAAGCAGGCUAAAAAAGCAAUUGGGUCCCUAGUUUUUUUUAAAAGCAAUCCAGUCCUCGGCGAGGCCCAGCACGCUCGCGGCGACGGCGACCUCGGAGGCGAUGACGGCGACCCAGACGACGACCUCGGAGGCGAUGACGGCGACCUUGACGACGACCCCGAGCGCGUCGACGCCGUUGCGGAAGCCCUUGUGGACCUACAGGCCGAGGAAGCCCUCGACGACCUUGGCGGAGUUCUUGGAGAGCUUGUAGCCGGACUUGAGCAGCGCGAGCGCGAAGAGGGCGGUGGGGGAGGAGGAGGAGGAGGAGGGGGAGGCGGCGGCGGCGGGGAGGAGGAGGAGGGUCGGGGCGAGGCGGAGGAGGGAGGCGGCGGCGAAGGCGGCCUUGACGCGCUUGAAGGAGGGCAGCGAGGGGAGACGCGCGGCCGGGUCGAGCGCGCGCGCNNNNNNNNNNNNNNNNNNNNNNNNNNNNNNNNNNNNNNNNNNNNNNNNNNNNNNNNNNNNNNNNNNNNNNNNNNNNNNNNNNNNNNNNNNNNNNNNNNNNNNNNNNNNNNNNNNNNNNNNNNNNNNNNNNNNNNNNNNNNNNNNNNNNNNNNNNNNNNNNNNNNNNNNNNNNNNNNNNNNNNNNNNNNNNNNNNNNNNNNNNNNNNNNNNNNNNNNNNNNNNNNNNNNNNNNNNNNNNNNNNNNNNNNNNNNNNNNNNNNNNNNNNNNNNNNNNNNNNNNNNNNNNNNNNNNNNNNNNNNNNNNNNNNNNNNNNNNNNNNNNNNNNNNNNNNNNNNNNNNNNNNNNNNNNNNNNNNNNNNNNNNNNNNNNNNNNNNNNNNNNNNNNNNNNNNNNNNNNNNNNNNNNNNNNNNNNNNNNNNNNNNNNNNNNNNNNNNNNNNNNNNNNNNNNNNNNNNNNNNNNNNNNNNNNNNNNNNNNNNNNNNNAGGACUUGGAGGCGGCCUUGGAGGCGGCGAGGAGGGCGGUGAGCGGGGAGGAGGCGGCGGCGAGGAGCCGCGGCGCCCGGAGCGCGGCCGCGGCGGCGGAGGUGGUGGCGGCGAGCGGCUUGAGCGCGCGCGAGCGGGAGAGGAGGAGGAGCAGGCGCACCCCCAGCGCUACGCCGACGGCCGAGGUUGCGGCGACGCGCUCGAGGACUGGAUUGCUUUAAAAAAAACUAGGGACCCGAUUGCUUUUUUAGCCUGCUUAUGUGUGGGCCAACUCUGUCAGAAACGCACUUAAAGGGGCCAAAUCGGGCUCUUUUCAGACUUGGUAGUUUUUUGCCACGGUUUAGGAAAAAAGCGGUAGUUUUUCGCACAAAAUCGUAAAGUGGUAGUUUUUCGUCACGGUUGCGUGAAUUGUGGUAGUUUUUGGUUAAAUACUCACCUCCACGCCAUCUCGCCGUUCCCAUCUCGCCUCCCUCGCGCUCGCACCGCCGCCUUCUCUCCCCGGUGCUCGAGCUGUAGCAGCUGGGGCGCCGGUCCUCGAUCCAGCCGGGUCCAGCGCAAGUCACCGGCUUCACGCGCCGUGAUGCUAGAUCGGGCGCAGAUCUUCGCGCCGCCACCUCUCCUCCUCUCUCUCGCCCAUGCCGCCACUGUUGCAAGGAGCAGGGGAGAUAGGCGACGAGGACAAGAAGCAGCAGGCUGGUCGCGGUGGGCUUGAGGUGCUGGGAGGACGGAGGAGUCCAUCGUGGUUCGUCAUGGAGGCGGCGCCGCCGGCCAGGGGACAUCGUUGGUGCGCUCGGUGCAGGUUCUUCUUUUUCAUGAAACCGGCCUCAUUCUCCCGUUCUUGCUAUCUUGUGCGAUUUUUUUUAUGCGAUUUGAUUCUUCUCUUUCUUUUCCUCUUGCAGGAUCGUCGGGGCUGCUCUCGUUCGUUCAGUUUGUCACUGUUCCUUUCGCUCUACUCCUGCUCAAGGUGAGGUGUUCUUCCGUUCCGAUGCUCCUGGCGUGUUUGAUGAAAUGUCUACGUGCUGUUAUGUUGUUCAUUCUCUCUUUUCUUUCCUGCUGCAGUCUGAUCUACCUUAUCUAUCAGUCCUCCUUCCGGCCACCAUCACGAAUAUGAUUUCCACCUCUGCUCUGCUUCAUUGCUGAUUAACUGUUGUUUCAUGCAUGUUUGCAGAGGCUUACUUGCAGUCCCUAAGCAAGGCUCUGUCGCACUACCACAAGGCCCAACUGCUGCUCCUCGACAUCACAGACUUCUCGCUGUGGGUCAGCAGCAAGAGAUCAAGUCCAUAACUGCUUAUUUACCUUUGCUCUGUUGUUCCUCAUGCUGUGAUUCUGAACUUUUUCCUUGUUUCUGAAUGUUUUUUGCAGAUCCAGAGCAAGUAUGAGAGCUCCAGUAAGGCCAUCAUGAGUAAACAUCAUGCCUACUUUGUGUGCUUGUUCAGCCUCUUUUAUUGUGUUGAUUGGGGAAUCUUGAGAUUUUAUUUGCGCAACUUGGCAAACUGGUCCCUCAUUGAUUUCAGCAAUCAGCAGUACCGGGCCCACAGAGAUUGCGAUCAUACAAUUUUGUCUGCAUCUUUAUAGCCGUCGCAUCACUCAUUUUAGACUAGUAUUCAUGGAUUUGUUGUCCUGUUUGCUUCUGUUUCUGUGUGCUCUGAAAAAAUGCUUCUUCUUUAGACAACCUGAAAUCAUGCUUGUGUUGUGCAGGUCCAGAACCAGUCCAUGUCUGAGACGACGUUUGGAAGGGUGUCCGAUUUCAUCGCACCUUUUGCAAUGUUUCCUAAGAUGGAUGAGCCUAGAGGUACCAGAACAAUACAAUUCAAUCUCUUCUCAUGUUUCUGCAAGAGUAGAUACAGUGUACUGUGUUGGAUAUGCUGAUUCGUUUUGAGGGAGCUAGAAAAUCUGUGGUGCUUCCUGGAAUCACGUUAUUCAAGGUAAAACCAGCCAAGUUGUUCUCUUCGAUGUUCUUUGCAUUAGAUUAAUAUAAAUCAUGUUCCUAGCAAAGUUCUAUUCUAUUACAAUCUUUUAGAGUUGUAGUAGCCGGAGAUUCAUUUUCAAGUUUGAACCCUAUCCUAUUAUUUAUGUUUGAGCAUGUUCUUCUUGUUUCUGUACGAGCACCUCUAAUUUAACUCUCUAAAAGCUCCCAAGCAAAAGAAGGCUUGCUGCGUCCUAAUAAAGAUUCUCCUUGUUUGCUUAUGCUUGUGUUGCUUCCUGCCUACUGCUUUGGGACAGAUAUAUGCAUGUUAGUUUGUCUCUGAUGUGUUGUAGGGCGUGCCCAGCUUUCUUAGCUUCUUACCAAUUCUUGGUUCUAGGAUCCAGUAGACUAGGUGAUCAUUUUUUAUAUAUGCCCAAACCAACGCAUGCUGCUGUAAUAUAUGUGCUUCAGAAUUGGCAGAGCACCACUUGCUGUAUACAUAUGCAAACAGUAAUUCUUGUUGCUCACCCAUAUGAGGUAUAGUUGUGGGAAUCCUGAACUGAAGUUGGGGAUUGCUGAUGUGAAAUGGCGGCGUCACGAGCCAGAUGGUCACCAUGGAGACCAUAAGCAGCCCAGCAGCAACAAUCCAACAUAUAUGCAUAAAACAAGCAUGAGCGGACACAUGCAGCAAUAAGCAUGGGAAUAGAAGUGGAUAGCCAUGGAACCUGUGGCGCGGGGAGCGCCGGUCAGCCUGGCGGACCUGUGACGUAAGCACGACGCUAGAUCAGACACACUCACGGUCAUUGGCGUGUGCGCUGGAUCGGCAGCCCUCGGCUGAUACAAGCAACUUGCAUUAUGUGGUCGCUUGGUCUAUCCAUCAACAUUAUAUCUCCUUCAUCAAUUAGUUUUCUCAUAUUUCUUAUUAUGAAGGCUAGGAACUAGGCUGAAAUACACAGAUGUUUUAGUUUUUGCUUUUCUUAAUGCAGAUGUGGAAGAUCUAAAAUCCUCUGUGAAAGAUUUUGGUUCUGCGGAAGCCAAUGAUCUGGCACUGGGACCAUAACUUCUGGAGUGAACGACUGCGGGAAUCAAAAUACAAUAUCGAUGAGGUUCUUUCUUUACAGAAAUCGCGAUUACAAUAUUAAUGAAAUUAGUUCCUGGCCAUUGCAUAUUUGCAUACUUAUUGGAAUUCGGUUUUAUCAUUAAUUGUUGAUUUAACUUUUUAGCUUUGAUGUAUGAGAAAACUAUCUGCAUUUCUUAUCUAUCAUGGAUAUGCUGAUAUAUUGCUCUACUAAAAGGAAUUGUUGGCCUAAGAUGUUAUUAUAUACGUGACAUGUUAUUGGCUAAAUAUGAUUCAUACUUUACAAACUCCUUACAGCUGGAGUAGGAUCCAAUGAACAGAUGAUGAAAAAUAAAUUAAGCACUUGCUUUGAUUUUUUCAAAUUUUUACAGAAACUGUUAGAACACACUUUUCUUUGCAAGCCGGAUACAAAGAGGAAUGUGUUAAAUAUAUGGAAGAUAAAAUUAUUUGCAAGCAAACUCUGCUUGUUUGCCAUAUUUUGCGCACCGUCUUAAAAUUAUUUGUCCAAUGGAAGGACUCUCUGCAACAUCAAUUCCAGUAUGUUGCUUUAGUUGUUCUGUGUGAUGCAAGGUAAUAUUUUUCUUGCAAUUUUUGCAUCUUUUACCUUUUCACUUCUGUUGAGAGAAACAUGUUGUUUCUUAAGAAGAUAUUGUUUAUAAGACGGAACAAUACUCACCAUAUAUGAUAUUGUUCCACCAAAUAAAUAUUUUUUGAGUGCAACUAAAAUCGUUUUCCUGCUCAUUCAUGACACUGUGGUCUGACAUAGCUGAUGGAUGUUCAGGUUUCUCUAUUAAUUGCAAUGCCUUCUAGAUGUGCUACUAUAGUGUUAUUUGUCUGUGCUUUAAUAUCCAUUCUGCAUGUGUUCUUCUGUUUAUUUUCAAGAUAUCCUGGCUCUCCGGAAUAUGCCCUGUUCAGCUGAAAGGAUGUAUUGCAAUUAUGCAGAGAGAUCGGAUUGUUCGGACUCCAGUGCCACUUUCAGUUUUCUAAUUUUUGCAGGGAUAUUGAGUGAGGGCUGGUCUAAACUUUAAGAGAAUAACUUAUUACAUUCUAGGAUCACCAACUUUUGGCGUUUGCUCGGACUAGGUAGGUAGGACCAUUAGCAAUUCUCCUGAUUUGCUUGCAAGAUUGAUUUAUGAAAAUGUCAUGGUCGUUAUAUUUCGGUUUGCUGCUAAUUUCAUUGAAUAUGUUUUGAUGGAUCCUUUUUAAGCUUUCAUCCUUUACCAUUUGUAAAAGUAACUAACACAUUCGUGAUUGAAUUUUUGAAUGGUUAAUGGGAACACUAUAGGUCUUGUUUCUCCGCUUUUUUAAUGUUCCAUAUAUUUUUCAUGUACAUACCAUAGUGUGCAUUCAACCAUCUACGAAGCUUCAUGACUGAUUAAAUGUUACAGCUGCUAAUGUUAUUGUGUUUCAUGGAUCAAGUUUUUCUUUCUAUUUCCGCAUUGACGUGUUGUUUCAAUGGUAGAGUUAGUUUUUUUUGCGGGAAUGGUAGAGUUAGUUACGACUGGUGUUUUUCUUGCGUCCCUGCCGCCCUGGCUACAGCUUGUUAUGCCAAUUGUGGCAGAGUGAAGGGAGGGAGAGACUAAAAUAAUUGUAGUUCUGAGACAUAAAUGUGUCAACAGAGCUUAUGGUUUCCACUGCGGUUUUUCUCAAAUAACCAAUAUAUGUCUGCAUUCUUAAUAUUUCUUGCUUCUAUUUGUAAUCUUAUUAUUUUCUCCAUGAUACACUUGCUUACCAAUAUGGUAUUGUGUUCAGUGUAUGUGGCCUACCGUAUCCGUGAUGUGGUGGCAGGAAGAGGCCAGUGCCACCAUUACUGUAUCCGUGUCAGGCAUGGUGGCAUGAAGAAGCAUAAAUUCAGAGUAUUGCUAUGAUGUUCUUCUCUAGCGUUGCAGGUGUAUCCGCAAAGUGUCUCAUAAUAUUUGGUUAAAGCCUGCAAUUGUUUAGGUGAUAUGAACUUCCUUUAUCUUGAAUGGAUUUGAACUCCAGCCAAAUUCAAGUGAUGAAAGGUCAGUUUUGUGCUGAUUCACAAGUUUAGAUAUCGUCCCUCCAGUGUACUUCUUGGUUGAUUAAUGAAAAAUGCUUUCUGCUCACUUCCCCUUCCUAGAUUAGUCUAUGUGUAUGAAAAGAAAAAUUCUUUUUUUGCAUAAUACUAUCGAUACCAUGGAAUAGUUUUUAUGAACGAUCCUCUUUAGCUAACAUUUAAUCAAGGUUACCUAAAGAGAAUGAUAUCACUUCAUAAAAACCAUUCAUGAAGAGAAUCAUUCAUAAAAAUAAUUCUCUUUAUGAUAGUAUUAUACAGAAAAAGCUAACAUUUGUAUAAGGAGAAUCAUUCUCUUUAGCUAACAUUUAAUCAUGGUAUUUGGUGGAACUGGCUGUGGAGUAUUAGGUAGAUUGUGAUAUGGUGAAUUAUUUGUUAGACACGACAUUACGAGCUCCUCCUUUGCAGCAGUACAUGGAUUUUUUUCUACAUAAAUCUCAUGAGUCCAUUAUGCCUUACGUAUCUGAACCUAUGAUUCUAGAGAAGAUAUAAUAUACUUCUGGAUUACACAAGGUAAAAUCCUCUUUCACUAACCCUUUCAACUUUCAAAUAUUGUCAGUUGGGGCUCACAAAACAGAUUGAGUUGAUUUUGUUGUUCUUUUGUGCUAUCUGGACAGAGCUUAUUGUUUUAUUCCAUUCUUAGUCUACUGAUGGUAAAUGAUAUAUGGAAAAUCAACAUUUCAAGGUAAAUAAAAUGCCCCCAGUAUGUUUCUGUUCACAUGAUUACUGGCUCAUGUUUCUUUUAUGUGAUGCCAGGCUACUGUUUGAUGUUCUCUUUGUUGCUCUCACUUUGGUUAUAUACUACUAAAACUUCGUAUAAUUUUCAUUUAGAUUUGGUGUUGUUAGCAUUAGACGGUGUGCAUCAAAUAUGAAAGUAGGGCCAAGCAUGAAAGGCAAGGUGAAGGAAGGUGCCUGUGUGGUUCUUCUGCAGCUCGGAGCGAGGAUUGCUGUGUCCAACCUGCAAAAGAAUGCCAAGAAGUCCUUGGAGACGUAAGCCACGGCACAUAUUUCUGCCAUGAUUUCCUUCGGCUGGAUUUAACGGAUUUAGGUGUUGAAAAAUUAUGGGUUGUGGAUGCAGGAUUAAGGACAUGUACCUGCACUGCAACGAGAGAUCUGGGCUGCUUCUUUGUGGCUUCCAAACUUGAAAUGUUUGUUUGGAAGUUAGUUUAGUUUUUUGUUGUGGAUUCACACCUUCUCACAUGUACCAUCCGCUUAGACCUUUAGAUUUCCAAAGAAAAUAAAUGAAGAUAUGGUGGUAUGGUUUCAUUUGUACAACUUAAAGCCUUUCAUGCUUUACAUUUUCUCUGAAAUUUGCUCUUGAAGAAUCAUGUAUCUAUGUUAGAUCCGGUGAGAAAAGGCAGCUUCAAAGCAGAGGAUUCGGGAGUGUUGGCCACAUUUGGUUUUUGACUUGGGUGUCUAAAUAUUCUCACAAUACUUGGCUCCCUCUUGGCCUUUGCGCCAUUGGCGCAACGAGUCAUCUAGUAUAUAUAUACGCGCAAAGAAGCGGCCAUGAACUGAUGCCCUAUUACUCUAAAAAAUGGUCAGACCAACACUUUCUUAAUUACAAGCAGAGUGAUGUUUGUAUCCAAUGAUAUGGUUCUCAGUAUGACACAACUCAUUUGCAUUUCCCACAACAAAAUAACUAGCAAGCUGAUUUCUAAAUAGAAAAACUUCACAAUUUCUGAGACAGAUAGAUGGUGUUAUUUCUUAAAACAUACGAUUCUCUUUUAAAAGGGCAAUAAGGUUUAUCUGCUUGAGGAAACAGCUCAGGCCCUAGAGUUACGCCCGUCAGGCAACCGGUCGUUUUCUAAGACAGGCCUGGCUGAGGUCGCACGCUGCCGACCGACUCUCCUCCCAUCCCCUUCUCUCCCGGCCGAGGUCUUCAAGAUUCGGCUGUCUCCGCGCCCCGAUCACCUGUAUUCUUAGAUGCCAUCACUAUUUAUAUCACUAUCAUGACCAUAAUUAUCCUUAUGACCACCACAUCCAUAUCCAGUAUUAUGAUGCUUGUUGUUAUCAGAACCAUCUUCCACAUCAACAUUUUCAUCAAAACAUCAUCUUUACUAAUGUAUACAUAGUCAUUCACCACUCAAGACAGAGUCAUCAUCAGUCUUAUAGUUCCACUCUCUCUUACCGCUAUCCUCAUUAUUAUCACCAUCAUCAUCUUUUGAUUAGUGAUAUAUUCAGAAGCACAAUUCCUUUUAUCAUUAUCAAUGGUUUCAUCACAAUACUCUUGAUCAAUGAUGUGCUUAGACCCCACUAGAAAACUUCACAAUUUCCAAGAUUCUCUAUUUGACACGCUUCUAUGCAAGCUAGCAUGAUUGAUUCUUCUCCAGCCUGCUGACCGAUUCUAUGUAAUGCUAGUAGCUAUGCAACACGGGUGAACACGAGGAAACUAUUGCCAUAGGACGAUGACGGUAGAGGGGAUGAAGAUUAUUCAGGUGGCAGACAUUGUUAUUCCAAAAUGCGUCGCCCUACUGGUUGGUGAAUGCAUAAAGAUCCAAUGAAGGACCAAUCAGCGGCCUACGCAACGCAGGCCUCCGUGACCAGUCGUCUUGCCAAGGGGAGUCAUCGGCACAACAAGAACUAGACAACAAAUAUUUUUUACGGGAGUAGUAUGGAUUUAAUUUGAAUUCCAGGAUUGGGUUUGAAGAAUAUCAAUCUCUUAGUUGAUAUUGAUGGAUGAAAAUACCAUUCUAAGGUUUAGAGGGGGGGGGGGCGUACCCAAGCAAACCUCAAGUAAAUAAUGCAACAUACAAAUUAGUGAAUCUACAACCCAGUGUUGCUUUGCGGCCGAAGCUGUCGUCUUGGAUGCGUCAGACCCAUGUAUGCCAGUAAAUAAUUAGAUUGAUCUCCAAGUGUGUUGGUGUUGUUGAGUAUAAUAUUACAGUUGACAUCAAUGGCGGCGAAAAUGAACAUAUGCAUGUUUGGGGGGGGGGGCAAUGCCCCCCUCCCAAGUUGCCUGUAACUUUCGUUGAUACAGUAGGCCUCUCAGCAGGAUCAUCUUAAACACAUUGCCCCCCCCCCGCCCCCAAGUUGCAUGUAACUCUGGCACUGGUUGAUACAAUAGGCCUCUCAGGAGGAUCAUCUUAAACACAUAGCAUCCUGAUAUGGAUACAUCUGAUUAUCUUCUCUUCCGGUCAGAGCCUGCUCAAAGAUGAAUCCACUCCGUCCAAGAUGGUUCCCUUCGUCCAAUGUCACUACACCAUUUUUGCCAACUGAACUCAACUAAAUUGAAAAGCAGGCAUAAAGGCGUGUGGUGCAGACUCGUCAGAGCGAGGAGAUAGGCACCACCAUUUCGUUUGCUUGUGACAAUCUCUAAAAGUAGAAUAUGAAAGUUGUAAAUGUUUGAUUUGUUGGAGGAGUGCCCACUCAUCGUAUAUUCGUGGGACAUGUAACCAUUAUUAUGGUAAACAUCAGACGUUAUUGAGGAAAUUAUUAUUGAAGUAAGUAUUUUGAGAUUGCAAGGUCCGAGGAACUUACUGGGUUCUGGCAACAUUGCGCGCCACCUCGUGUGAUCUGUUGCCUCCAAAAACCCUUGCGAACCAAAAUUCCAAGAUUUUGGGUUUCAACUCACUGUCCAAUAGGACAUUUGAUCUUUCAAAUCUUGAGGAUGAUCCUGUCAUGUGAAUCCUCAUGGAGGUAUUGCAUGCCGCGGGCUAUACCAUACAUGAUCAUGAACACAUACAACUUAGUGCAUUUAUCCGCAUCUUUGGGGGUAAAAGGCCAGAAGAUGUAGAAAACAAAUGCAUGCAUGACACACUAUAGACGGAUUGCAUUGGUUAGUGGUGGAGCUUGUUGCAAAAUGGGGGGGGGGCAAUGGCCCCCACUGGCUUAUGAUCAAGAGUGGCAACAAACCAUUAAGUUCUCCUGCUCCUCAAAACAAGCGCCAACAAUUCACACAAAAUUUAUGUGUUAUAGCUUAGCAAGCAAAAACAACUUUGUUUCCAAAUUGUUGAUCCCCUGUUGAGAACUCUGUGAUAGCCACUUAACAUCGACUAGUUGAUGGUCAUGGAGAGUUCCCUAAUGUACAAAAUAGAGACAUGCAUUAUUCAACACAAAAGAGGAAAUGAAGACAUCGAUCCAAACUGCUGCAACAUAAAAUAGGUGUACCUUCUAAACUAUGCUAAAACCACCUUUGCAUGGCUUGUUAUUUAAUCAUAUUCUCCCGUUGCAUCUGGAAGUAUUUGUAGAUCAAUAUAAAGGACUCAAUAACUUUUUAAUCCUUAGGAUCAAUUAAACUUGACAUAACCAAUAUGAUUCCACCUUGAAAGUAAAAAAUUGACACGACCAGUUACAAUUCAACCUUGAAAAUAAAAUAUGCAUAGCAAGAUUAUUCAACGACCAUUUUUUCAGGAACAUAAUUCAUUAAAGGUAGAUAUAUUCCGUAAAAUGUUGGAGUGUCCCACGAAGUGGUGCAUAACAUCCAUCGAUCAAAAGAACCAAGGGUGAUCAUCAAACUUGAUUACAAGAAAGCGUAUGCAUGACCGUGUGUACUGAGACUUCCUUUUUGAAAUCCAACAGACUAGAGGUUUUUGCAAAAAGUGGAUUGGUGGAUUUUGAAUCAUAUAGACCCAUUGUUUUUUCUUUGAAAGGCUCCUCCCCAUUGCAAUUUUGAAGGGGUCAUGUGGGCUGGUCAUGCAUCAAAUUUUUUGGUUUAGGUGGAAAAUAGAUAAUGGUUGCUAAAAGUAUUUUUUCAAAAAUACGCAAGACAUGUGUGUGUUAUAAGAAGAAAUAAAUGAGUUUAUUUAACGUGGGGCGUUUGUGCGCUCACCCUCGACAUCUAAGGGUUGUAUCUAAAAGAAAACUAAGCAAUCAUAAAACGACACACACUCUAGGGUAAUCCUAUAUAUUAAAUAGUUGAUCCUCACUAACUCAAUUAUAUUAACAUGUAACUAUGUUAACUCAUCAUGUCACUAUGCACGCCCCACUAAAUUUAAUUCCCUCACCAUGUAAAUAUGUCAAUUCACCAUGCCACUAUGCAUGAGAAAAGACCGAUCUCACAUGCAUCAUGCUUGUUACCAAUAGUAAAUAAAUAGUCCGUACCUAUAUAAUAAUCAAAUAUAAUAUAUUAUAUGCACCUUUUUUAAUUAUCAUAUUACUAAUCAGAAUAGUAAAGUUUCAUACUGCCAAAUCUCAUAGAAAUAACUACAUCCAAUUCCUGUUACAACGUGCGUGGUAUCAUCUUCAGUUAUCCUAGUGCCUUGACACCGUGUGUUGGAACAUCGGUCACUUUAUGGCCGGCCGUACUGCAUAAGGGUAGUUUUUGAUGUACAACAACCACUUUAUGGUCAACGUUGAUGUGGAAAAGAGAUUAAAAGAAUGAGCUCUUUUAUGGUGCCAUAUACUAGACUAUACUAGCGUUCAAAAAGAAAUAGUAUAGAAACAUCUGAUGAUUAAGAUUAGUUGUAUACUACUAAACAUUGUACCUUUGGUAUGGGUAGUAUACAUGAGCAAUAUAUGUAGUAUAAGUGCAUUAUGGGGAAAGAACACAAAUGGCGUCACUGUAAUAUAUUUUUAACACUAAGAUUGACCCUGACAGUUAGAUAUUCCUAUAUUAUAUACCACUAAGUAGUAGUAUAAGGCAUCGCAAAAGAGCUCAAACAAGGUAAAUCUGUUUCAAAAAAACUAAAGCUUGCCAUCUUCAAAUAUCCCACUAUGCGCACAAAGAUGCAUGUGUAGGCACAGUGGGAGGGGAAAGUCGGCCCAAGUUUAUCGGUUUUUUCCUUUCAAAUCCCCCUUUCCAUUUUUCCCUUUCUACUGUUGUGAUCAAUCGAUAUCUGCAUGUUUACCAUUUUGUGUAUUUUAAAUUUGAGAAACUCUAUUCAACAUAUUAGAACUUAUUCAACCAUUUUUCACAUGAAUAUGUUGAAAUAGUCUACCAAAUUGAUUGUUUUGGUAUUUUUAAAACUUUCAAAAAUAAUAAUAGGAAAACAUAAAUUAUUUUUUAUUGGAGCCUUCAUCUUCCAUGGUGAGAACGCAAAUUAAAGUGUCUGACAUGAAGGUAAGAUUAAUAAACGGUGGAGAUAUAGGAGGAAACGAGGUGCACGGGCGGAAAGUAUCCUUUUGAGCUGGAGCUCAUUUCAGCUCAGAUGAAUAGUAAAUUAAAAAAAUGGUAUACUUUGACAAAUGUUCUAAGUGUUUGCAAAUUUUCAUCAUGAGAUAACAUUCGUGGAAGGCGAGAAAAAAAAUUGAUGCUCGAAAAUGCUUUCGAAAGUAGCAUUUUCAGAGCAUCUUUUUGUUUUUUUGUCACACCUUCCUCGAAUGUGAUCUCAUGAUGAAAAUUUGCAAGCACUUACAACAUUUGUCAAAGUUCACCACAAAAAAAUUAGAAUUUUUUAGAAAAAAAAAAUCAAUUUUACUGUUUGUGUGGGCUCAUUUGAGCUCGAGCUCAAAUACUCCACGUCCUGCACGGGCUACAUACAUGCAUGGGUUCAGUAGCUAGUGCAUUUGGUCCUGGGCUGUUUUGCUUCAUGGGUGGGCUGGGUUGGGUUUUAGAUGGGUGACAAGGGUGUUGAAAAACCCCUGUUCAAAUUUGUGCUAUCCCAACCAGGCCCUUUUUUUUUACAAAGUGUAGCUAGUGCUACUUUUUAUUGCCGAGUUGAACCUCACGCGUUACAUCAGCUUUGCCUAGGUCUCAUUGUUGACAUAUAGCAUGGCACUUACAAAUUUCUUGCCCCACAAAUUACAGACACAUGGCGCUUACCAAUUCUGGAAUAGAAUCUUCAUCGAAAGAUGUCGAGAAACACAUUAUUCAUCUAUGAAAAUUGGUGAGAUGUUGGAUAACCAAACUGCCCAAAUGAAGGUGAAACAAAAGCAAUAUUGACUACAAAAGAGGCUGAGUGGAACCUCAUGCAUCAUAAUUGCUUCUUAACUUGUCAACCCCCUUAUCACUAUUGUGGUCCUCCUAAAACCUAGUGUCAUGGGAGAUCGCUGGGUAGUGUGAUAACCCGCGCCAAUUGAGGUGAAACAAAAGUAAGAAAGUUGUCUGAAUAUUGUUGCUCGCUAUGAUCUGUUGAAUUAGGCUAUUGUAUUUAUUCGUUUCUCCUUUUAUUGCUUGUCAUGAUGUUAGUUUCAGCCAUUGCUUCUAUCCAGACAUAACACUUUAGGAAACUUGAUGUCUUACACUUAAAAUAAUCGAGUCGCACCUUGCCCUCCAUUGAGGGCCAGAAGGUUAAGUUGAGGGGUGGGGGGGGGGGCGACGGUGUCCUGGACUAGGGGGUACUCACCAUGUCGUCUCUCGAUCAGUUGGAUUGGGCCGAGGACCCCCAUGGCCGCAUACUCAUGGUCCAGUUCGGACAACCCCUGCCGCAUACAAGGAAGACUCCACAAGACUUGGCGCCCAUGACAAGGACUCUCCUAAACCCUAGGCCUCCGGUGUCUUAUAUAAACCGAGGCCAGGCUAGUCAACAGAAAAUCUCAUAUUCAUUACUAUCAUCUCGUGUUAGAUACAUGUACUCUGCACUAUACCCCAUAUGAAUACAAUCAAAAGCAGGACAUAGGGUUUUACCUCCAUCAAGAGGGCCCGAACCUGGGUAAAAUUCCGUGUCCAUGUUACCAUAGCUCCAAGACGCCUAGCUUAGGACCCCUACUACGAGAUAUGCCAGAUAUUGAACCGACAGGGGGGGAGGGGAGAAAAGGAAAACCCGGUGCAUCGUUUGUGUGCAAAAGACCAAGGAAGCAAGCAGUAUGGAUACUUAAUGGUCGCUGGAGAGAAUAGGGGGAAAUACAACACAACCAUCGUGCUUGACAUGCUCCUCGUGCUCAACACACGUAGUUAUGAAUUAUUUUAUACUCAAUUAUUCACAUGUAAUUUGUUCUUAUACGGUACCAACGCAUGAAUAUCUAACUAUUACAUUUUGAUAUCCAAGCAAACGGUAUCAACUUGUUGUAUAUUAGAUAAUCUAUGAACCCAAACCCAUGGCUAGCUUGCAAAUCAUCAAAUAGACUUAGAACUGAAGAAGGUUCCUCCCCCAUUCCUUUCUUGGGACUUUCACUCAACAUAAACAUUUGGCAAUACUCCUUUUUUUGGCCCACUUUUUCACACAAAAGCUCACCAUUUCUUGGGUGCUAAAUCCCAAGUGCACCCUUGCAAAAGGCACACUUUCUUUUGAGUUGGUAAAUCAGAUUUUCUGUUUAAUAUAGAAGAAACAAGACAAAUUAGAAUUCAUGCAUGUAUAAAUGUUUAAACAACAUAAUGUAUGGUCAAUACCAAAGAGCCGUCUAAAAAUAUGUGGCAUAUAUAUGGCAAUGCCAUACGUUCUCGUGAAUACACAGAUGGGUUCAUUACUGACAAGUACAUGCAUGAAACCGUAGUUGCAACAUAAUUAGCUAAGUGCAAAGCAAAAUAUAAAAUAUAUUUACACAAUAUCAAUCUUUCACCAAUAAUAUCCGCUCUAGUAAGCAUAUUAACCACCAAAAAUGAUAUUAAUAUGAUCCCAUAUAACAAUAAUUAACAAGAUAAAAACUUAAAAGGGAGACACUAACUAUACACUAUGUUUACCAUCAAAAUACAUACAUGGUAUGUGAAUUAUUACUCACCAAUUUGUUGGAUCAUAUGCACUAGAUAUUGCCUGUAGAAUUGUGUUUGCGUCCUGGCAUGCAUUUGUUGCAACCAGUUCAUUAUGUAAAUAUUAAGGAGCUAUCUUACAACAUUUAUGGGCACGGAUAUUAGGUGCACAAUGAGGAUACAUGAAAAAACCGAGAAUUCAGCUUGGUACUGAAAACCUGAUCGACUAAUUCAAAGCCCAAACACAUAAUACUAGUUUCGUCACUAGCGAACGGCAAGGCAAUAUGUUUAACGAACCAAUAAUGCAUCAGUGUAAUGUCAUGAAAUGCUAGAGCCAAACAAUACGGGCAUGUACACAAUUGAAAAAAGGACCAGCCUCGUGCAACCCUUGGUAGCCUUUUUUUAAGAACUAUCCUCUUGAUGGUACUAGUUGCUCUUAAGGUUGUACGUUGAAGGUUUUCAUGCAGAGCAGAGCAACUAAGUGAAUGUUGAUUUUCAUUUUGUUUGAUCAAUCAGGAAGGAGACAUGAAAUUCAUAAACUGCCAGUAGCCUUUUAUUUAAAAAAGAGAACUACUAGUAGCCUCCACCGAGAAAACUAAUACUCCCUCUAGCUUGAAAAGUGGGUGUGCAUAAAUUAUGUCUGAAGUCAAAUGGUGCAAAAUUUGACCGAGUUUAUAAAAAAAAUAAAUCAAUAAUUGCAAUGCCAAAUUAGUUUCAUUGUAUGGACAAUAAACAAGAUUUUCGUAUUCUAUCUAUCUAGUAUUGUAGUUAUUGAUGAUCCUACAAAUUUGAUGGAACUAUGCGAGUUCCGACAAAAUGUAUGCCUAUUUCUUAAGUGGGGCGGAGUACCAGACAGUUAGCGGAAAACUAUGACAAAUGCAGGGAUCAACAUAUGUUGACGUAAUUCAAGUAGUUAAUUGUAUGACACUUCUUUUUCGGUACAACCCACAUAAACACAUCAAUGGACGAGAUCUGUCGAUACCCCUUUAUAAUAAAGGGUAGGGUGGUCUUUCUAGAAAAUACGUCGCGAAGAUCCGUCACAUUCUGAGUCUACCUUGUGUACACAGUAGCACAGAUCGAAAAUCCAAAGCCCAUUAGGAAAAUCCAAAAAAUAGUGUGCCUACUAGGCGUCGAACACAAGACCUCGAGGCGUUGUGAAAAUGCUAAUAGCCACCAGAACCAUCGCGGGUUGGUCAUACUUGCGUAGUGCAGUUAUUUAUCAACUAGAAAAGAUGUACUGUAGGAGUUUCUUUUUAAUAGAAAUACUAUAGCAUAUAUCAAAAUUGGUACUGUACAACUGUGCCGGACAUUCUAGCGAAAGCGCUUUUUAUAGCUAAAAAUCCUAAUGUGUUUAUUCAUCUUUUGGAAUAUUUUUCGAAAACAUGAAUAUUUUUUAAGAAACAAUACGUUUCUCAAAAUUUGGACUUCUUUUGGAAACGCGUUUCUUUUCAAAUUUCCAAACCAUUUUUUAUGAAAAAUACUUUGAUUUUGUGAAUAUUUUUGAAAUUUUAAGAACAUUUUUUCAGAAUUGUAAACAUUUUUCUGAAACUGCAGACAUUUUUUAGAAAAGAUGAAUAAUUCAUCACAUUUGUAAACAUUUUCUUGAAAACAUAAACAAUUUUAAAUAUAUCAUUUUUUUGAAAAACGCAAGCACUUUUUCAAAUAGCCGAGCAUUCUUUGAAAGCACAAACAUUUUUUCAUAUUUACGAAUAUUUUUCCAAAUAUACUACUCCCUCCGUUUCAAAAUGUAGUGCGUCCUCGGUUUCCGUGUUUCAACUUUGACCAUAAAUUUAACCAAUGAGACUGACUGCGGCGGGAGCAAAAAUUAUAUAAUGGAAAAUGUUUUUUAAAAAUGAAUUCACUUGUAUAAUUUUUGCUCCCGUCGCAGUUGGUCUCGUUGGUUAAAUUUAUGAUCAAAGUUGAACCUCGGGAAACAUGGGCACGCUAUAUUUUGGAACGAAGGGAGUAACAUUUUCUGAAAACAAUUCUUAUUUUCAAGGGCCUAAGCAUUUUUUUUCGUUUUUCUUCUCUUUUUAUUAAUUCAUUUUCUACUUUUGAACUUUAUUAUUCUUUAUGAAACUUGUUCAAAAAUUUGAAAAAUUGUUUGGCAUAACAUAAAGUGUUCUUGUUUUCAAAUAUUGUUUAAAUUCUAAAAUAUAUUCUGGAAUUUUAUAAAAUGUUCCAGUUUUUGAAAUUUUUAUUUGCAAAUUCAAGAAAUGUAUGUGUUUAAAAAAAUUGAUAAUUUUUUAAAAAGUACGUGGUUUGCCAUUUUUUCCGAAAUUUUCAGCAUGUUUUCGUAAUUUGUUAACAAUUUUGGACAAAAGUGUUCAAGUUAGUAAAAUUUUCAUACACACCAAAAUAGUUGACAAAUUUGAAGAAAUUGUUUGGAAAAAAUAAAAUGUUUAUGUUGAGUGAUAAUGACAGGAGUUACAAAUAAACUCAUCUAACUGGUAUAUUUUAGGCUAUGGAUAAAUGAACCCAUCUUCUUGUAAGAGGCUGGCAUGGACAUAUGAGGCAUCCAUGCCAGGUUUGAAGGACUUCCGACACCCUUUACAUGUUGUGACACGUUCGACCAUUUAUCGGCCUAUUUUCACCGAGAAAACUCUAAAAAAUGCAAAACUUUUCAAAAGUCUAAACAACUUGGUAUUGUGCCUUGAGUUGGUCAUAUAAGCUUGUGAAAAGUACUUAGGGUUAUUUGACGGAUGUCAAAAAACAAAGAGCUUUCAAACGGACCCUUCUGCCCUAUCCGAACACCCUCCGUUGGACAUAGUCUAUUUUUGAACAUCCUUAAAAUGAACCCCACUUUUGCAAGAAGGUAGGCAUGCCCAUGGUAGGCACAUGCCUGGUUUGGACGAUUUUCAACACCAUAUGCAAGUGGUGACACAUCCGGUAAUUUAUCGGUCUUCUUAACCAAGAAAACUUCAGAAAAUGCAAAAUUGGGCGAAACCAAAAAAAUUUGACAUGGUGCCUUGAAUUGGUCAUACAAGGCUAUGAGAAAUGGAUCCAUUUAAGGGAUGUCAAGAAAUGAGGUGCGCCCAAGCAUACCCUUCUGGCCUAUCCGAACACUCUCCAUUGAACAUGGUAUUUCUUCGGAGAUCUCAGGACAGGUCCCAACUUUUGCAAGCAAGUUGACAUGCCCAUUUUAGGCUUUCAUGCCUGGUUUGAAUGACUUCCAACGCCGUAUGCAUGUUCUGACAUUAAUCGGCUUUUUUCAUAGAAAAAACUCUAAAAAAUGCAAAACUUGACAAAAACUCAAACAAUUUGGCAUGGUGCCUUUAAUUGGUCAUACAAGGCCAUGAAAAAAUGGGCUCAUUUAAGGAUGUCGACAAAUGAGGUGCUCCCAAACAGAUCCUUCUGGCCUAUUCGAACACUCUCCAUUGAACAUGGUAUUUCUUUGGAAAUAUCAGGACUGCCCCCAACUUUUGCAAGCAAGUGGGCAUGCCUCAUGUUAGGCAUCCAUGUGUGGUUUGAAUGACUUCCGACACCGUAUGAACGUUGCGACAUGUUCUGUCAUUAACUGUUAUUUUUUCACCGAGAAAACUUCAGGAAAUGCAAAAUUUGUUGAGAACCCAAACAACUUGUCAUGAUGCCUUGAAUUGGUCAUACGUGGCCCUUGAAAAAAUUGGAGUAAUUUCGACGAUGUAGAGAAAUAACAUGCUCUCAGACGGAGUCUUCUACCCUAGAACACGCUUCGUUCAAUAUGGUCUAUUUUUAUACAUCCUUCAAAUGGUCCCAACUUUUGCCACCAGGUGGGCAUGCCCCUCAUAGGCAUCCAUGCCAAGUUUAAACAAUUUCCGACACCGUAUGCAAAUUGCGACACGUCCUGCCUUUUUUUGCAUUCUCUUACCGAGAAAACUCUAGAAAUAUACAAAACACGUCAAAAAUCAAAACAACUUGUCAUGGUGCCUUGAAUUGGUCAUACGAGGCUAUGAAAAAAUUAGGGUCAUUUUAAGGAUGUCGAAAAACAACGUGCUCUCGGACAUACCCUUCGGGCCAACCUAAACACCCUCCGUUGAACAUGGUGUUUUCGUGGACAUCCUUGAAAUUACCACAACUUUUGCCACCAGGUGGACAUGUCCAUGGUAGGCAUCCAUCGCAGGUUUGAACUACUUCAGACACCAUAUGCAAGUUGCGACACGUCUAGCCAUUUAUCGACCUUUUUUGACCGAGAAAACAUUAGAAAAUGCAAAACUUCUCGAAAACUCAAGCAACUUGGAUUGGUACCUUGAAUUGGUCAUACAAGGCCAUGGAAAAAAUAUUGGGGGCAUGGAUGCCUACCAUGGGCACGCCACCUAUUCGCAAAAUGUUGGGGUCAUUCAAGAAUUUCCAAAAAAACACCAUGUUCAACAUAGCGUGUCCGAGUAGUCAUCCAUGCCAAGUUUGAAGGAAAAAUGUAUUUAAAAUCAUAAUUUAUAUAGAUACUUAAAAAUGUCAAUUUAAGUUUCUAACAUAACUAAUAAAUACUAAAUGAUAGAAUUGAAAACAACAAAUGCUUUUUUAAAGCAUUUAAGAAAUAUUUAAACAAAAAAAGAAUUAAAAAGAAUUCAAAUUAGUUACUUUAAACUGUUAUAUUGGUAUUUCAAUUUUUUGAACGGGUUUAAAAAAAUAAAGUUUAAAAAGGUGUAAAAAUAAAUUAACAAAAACGAGAGAAAAACGAAAAAAUAGAAAAGAAGAAAAAUCUUAGGCCUUGCCCAACUAAGCGACAACAUCGCUCCUGUUGGGCGACUAUUGGAAUUUGUUCGCAAUUUUAAAAAUGUUCUCAUUUCCAAAACAAAUUGUUCACUUUUUCUAUAUCAUUUAUUUAGUGUCAUUUCAGAAAAUGUUUUGGAAUUUAAGUUGUUGUCCAUGUUCUCAGAAAAUGUUUUUUUUCACAAUUUUAUUUGUGCUUUUCAAAAAAAUUAUUCGCAUUUUGACAUUCUGAACAUUUUUUUAAAGACACAAACAUUUUUUAAAAUUACUUUACAAUUUUUUUAAAUGCAAAUAUUUUUUAGUUUAUCAAAUUUUUUUGGAAAUAAUGAACCGUUUGAAAUUUUGAAAAAAAUUGAAGGCACGACCAUUUUUUUAAAAGAAAGAAGAAACAUAGCAGGAAAAGGAAAAUAAAUAAAUAAAAAUAAAUUAUGGAAAAAAGACCAGUUCAGAAAGUGUUUCUAAAAUCUUUUUAAAAUUCCUAGCCUGUCUGUUACUUAUUGUGUUUAGCUUUAGAUCGUUCAACAAAGGCAUGCUGUCGCAGUGGUUGUGGAUGCUGUUAAAGUUUUAAGUGGUCGUGGGUUCGAUUCCCAGCUUGUGCCAUCCUAUUUUCCUAUUUUUCAUCGCAUGCCACAACAAAUGGGCCGGCCCAAGUAAGCUGCCCGGCGUAUACGUUACUUUACAUAAGUAAAUACAAUCAGUAAAUACAGAUUGUGAAAAGUCCAUAGUACCCUUUAUAUGUAUUGCAAGGGGGGUUGUACCGAAGCAGGACUCAUUGUAUGGUUACCCACACAAUAUGAUGCAUGUUUCGACAACUGGUUUGCCGAAGCAAUCAUAGUGUAGCUCAACAAAGAAAUACUGCUCAGAGGUAUCUGGUUUUGGAGGAACCCUCCUGUGAGGCCAGAAGCUGUGCUUUUCGCGGCGACUACGUGCUAAAAAGUUGAAGUUAAACCAAAUUUCAUCCCUGAAACCAACACGGUUGCAUCAUAUAGGACUGACAGGGUCGACUCGAACUUGGCACCCCGAAACAUAGAACACGGGGAAGGCAUAGGAAAAUAUAGUAAGGCCCAUCAACGGAAAAAAAACUGAUACUUUUCCCCUCUCGUUAGGGUUUACCUACGCUCGGUGGCGGCGGCAGUCCCCCGUAGAUAUCUUUCCUCCCCUGCCCUCCUGCUCCCACCGGCGAUCGCUGGGGCUCCUGGAGGGCCUCGGCUGUGGUGGGGCUUGGGGUUCGUGCUAGGGAUCAUACCGCCCACGGACAAAGUAAUCGGGGCAAGAGGAUCAUGGAUAAGACGGCGUCAAGUUCGGGUACGGCCAACUCUGAUCUUGAAGCUAUGAUGGCGGAACUAGGAUUGAAGGAGGACGAACUGCAUGAUGUGAUGGUGGAAGAAGCCGAGCUGAUGGCGGAGGCGACCCGAUGGAUGGCGAUUGCUAGGGUUCACACUGAUAAAAACUAUAGUCAGUAUUGGUUCUAUAAGAACCUGAGGGUAGCCUGGGAUUUGGCUCAGGAGGUGAAGGUCAGAACGCUCGAGGAUAAUCUUUACUCGAUGCAAUUUUCUUGCCUUGGUGAUUGGGAAAGAGUGAUGGAGGAUGGACCAUGGAACUUCAAAGGAAAAUCUGUUGUCCCGGCACCGUAUGACGGCUUCACAAAACCCUCGCUGAUUGAGUUAAACAAAAUUGAUAUAUGGAUUCAGAUCCAUGAUUUGCCAGUUGGUUUUUUCUCCAAAGUAAAGGCCUUGUCAGCAACAGUGGGCGAAUUCAUAUUUGCAGAACCGAAAUCACAUGACUUUGAAGGAAACUUCGUCCAUGUUCGAGUAAGGAUAGAUGUCACCAAACCCCUUAAGAAUGUUGUUUCGUUGGUGGUCAGGAAGAAGGACUCCCUCGAACGAGUUAUCUUCAGAGUCAAAUACGAGAGACUGCCUGACCGGUGUGCGGUCUGUGGACACUUGGGUCAUCUUUUUAAGGAGUGUGGUGAUGGAGUUCAUCCUCCGCAGGCAAUGGUUUUCAAAGAGCUCAGGGCAAGCUGGUUUAGAGGGCCUAGCAGUGGUCCGAGAGAGAUAUCUGGAACCAGGGGAGGACGCGGCAGAGGUCGCAAUGGCAGAGGUGGUGGUCGUUCUACCACAUAGUCCAGCCCUUUCAGCAACAAGGACAGUGUAGAUUUAGAACACACAGAGGACAACGUCGCAAUGGAGGAGGCAGAGAAAAAUAGGAAGAGGGGAGCAGCAUGUGCUGAAGUCCCAAAGUCCAACCAGACUCAUCAACCUAUAGCAAGUGUAGAAAAGACACAUCUGAUGCUACCUCCACCGGUGGUACCCCCAGCCCCUCAAAACAGGAACCUAAGAGGAACAAGGCCAGUCCAUCAAUGAAUGAAGUUGCUCAGGCAAAGAAUGCAGCUCCCAACAAAAACCCAGAUGCGCGUUUGGCGGGCCUCCCAGGGGGGUCGCGCCUAGCGCAAUGAGUAUGAUGUGUUGGAACUGUCGCGGAAUUGGCAAGGCCGCGACAGUUCGGGAGCUUCGCUAUCUAGCGAGGCAAUUUGCCCCCUCUAUCUUUUGUAUUGUAGAAACACAAAUAGAGGGCUCGAGAGUUGAGAAUUUGGCAGAAGCAAUAGGUUACAAUAAAAGCUUUGCAGUUAGUAGUUCUGGUCGCAGUGGUGGCCUAGGAAUUUUCUGGAAUGAUGAAAUAAAAGUUCAAGUUCUUGGUUACUCUAAGUAUCAUAUUGAUGUACUUGUUGAUGAGAUGGUGGACUUGCAGGUUCGAGUAACCUUUGUGUAUGGGGAGGCCCAGGUUCCAGAGAGAUUUAAAACUUGGGACACCUUGAGGGGUAUUGCUGAAACACAGAAUAGGCCAUGGGCGGUGCUAGGUGAUUUUAACGAGGUUCUACAUAUCCAUGAACAUGAUGGUGUGGGAGCCCGAAGUCAAGCACGAAUAGAUGGCUUCAAAGAAGCAAUUGAUACUUGCGGUUUAUCUGACAUAGGUUAUACGGGAUCGGAUUGGACAUUUGGAAAGAAGGUUGCUAGACAGGUGCUUGGUAAAUCCUGAAUGGUCUCUCGCUCUCCCAAUGACAACCCUAAUUCAAAAGAGUGCGGCUAGUUCAGAUCACCUUCCUAUACUCCUCACGUUACGUGAUAUGCAUGCAUGCAAUGCGGGCCCUAGAGCUUUUAAAUAUGAAACAAUGUGGGAGAGAGAGGAUUCUCUAUUCACAACAGUUAACAAUCGUUGGAACAUGCUUGCAGCAGAUUCCGUUGCCUCGUUGCGGGAGAAGAUGGGUAAGCUGGCAGGCGAUCUGUCUGCAUGGGAUCGCACCCAGUUCGGCUCUGUCAAGAGAGAGAUCAUCCAAUUAAAAAAGCAGCUAGAUCAACUACGCUCUACUCCAGGAAGAUCUGGCCUGUCACAUCUGGAGACAAAGACAAUUGACAGACUGGUUGAGUUAUUCCACCGUGAAGAGAUGUUAUGGCGCCAGCGGGCGCGGCUCGAUUGGCUGACCCAUGGAGACAAAAAUACAUAUUUUUUUUCACUUGAGGGCGAGCCGCCGGCGCAGGAAAAAUCAAAUUAAAUCGCUUCAACGGGCAGAUGGCUCACUGACGGAAGACGGGGUAGAGAUGGAAGUGCUGGCUACAGAGUUUUAUAAAAACCUAUACACUUCCGAAGGGGUACAUAAUAUGGACCAAGUACUGGAUACGGUGCCAACUAAGGUAACUCCUGCUAUGAAUGAUUUAUUUAAUGCGCCUUACACACAACAGGAGGUUAAGGAGGCUCUGUUCCAAAUGUUCCCAAUUAAGGCGCCGGGUCCUGAGGCUUUCCGGCCCACUUCUUCCAAAGGCAUUGGGAGGUUUGUGCUGAGGAUGUGACGAAAGUGGUGCUCAAGAUUGUAGAUGGAUCUGAAUCAGCAGCAUGCAUUAAUGACACUAUUUUGGUAUUGAUCCCAAAGGUAAAAAACCCAACACUACUUUCACAGUUCCGUCCAAUCAGCCUUUGUAACGUGCUCUACAAGAUUGCUUCCAAGGUCAUCUCCAACAGGCUUAAACAGAUACUACCGGAAAUAAUCUCUGAGGAGCAGUCUGCUUUUGUUCCAGGCAGAUUAAUUACUGAUAAUAUAAUAACUGCAUACGGAUGCUUGCACUUCAUGAAAAGGAAUGGGGCUAAGAGACAUCAAUCCUGCGCUCUGAAACUUGAUAUGAUGAAGGCAUAUGACAGGGUAGAAUGGGACUACUUGAGGGCUAUAAUGCUCAAAUUGGGUUUCACUAGUAACUGGGUUGACAUUGUCAUGAGUCUGGUUACCUCAGUACAAUUUUCAGUCAUGUUUAACGAGAAGAAGCUUGAGGAGUUCAAACCAUCACGAGGGAUCCGGCAAGGGGACCUGAUAUCUCCAUACUUGUUCUUGAUAGCAGCAGAGGGCCUGUCGUGCCUGUUAAAAUCAAGAGGGGAGUCAUCCAAUUUGGAAGGGGUACAGGUGGCUACUACGGCACCACCAGUAAACCAUCUUCUAUUUGCUGAUGACAACCUGCUAUUCUUCAAGGCAAACGGUAUGGGAGCUACCGAGGUAAACCAAGUGUUGGAUAGCUAUUGCCAAGCAACAUGUCAGCGUAUAAACUAUGCUAAAUCAUCCAUAUUCUUCAUUAAGGGUGUGCCGGAUACUGUUCGCAAUGAUAUAAAAGGCAUUCUAAAUGUUCCCAAUGAAACCUUGAACGGGAAAUAUUUAGGAAUGCCUUCCGAUAUGGGGCAUCUAAAAAUGGAGCUUUCAAACACUUGAAAGAUAGAUUGUGGAGUAAAAUUCAGGGAUGGAUCGAGAGGACCAUGUCUAUGGCAGGGAAGGAAGUGUUAGUAAAGUCAGUGGCGCAAGCAGUACCUGUUUUUUCUAUGUCGUGUUUCAAGCUACCGCGAGGUCUAUGCGAGCACCUCAACAUGAUGAUUAGAAAAUUUUUGUGGGGAAGCACAAAUGGGCAGCAUAAGCCUCACUGGGUUUCAUGGAAGUCUAUGACACAACCAAAGAGCCUUGGUGGUCUAGGUUUUAAAUACUUUGAGCUCUUCAAUCUGGCGAUGUUGGCGAGACAAUCUUGGCGUUUACUGCAGGAUCCCAAUUCUCUAAGUGCCCGUGUACUGAAGAGCAUAUACUACCCACAUACGUUGAUAUUGCAUGCUACUUUGGGGAGUCAUCCUAGCCAGAUAUGGAGGGCAAUCAUCAAGGGCCGAGACACUUUGCAGCAAGGGCUUGUAAAGCGGAUUGGCAACGGGGAGAGCACGUUUAUAUGGGAAGAUAACUGGCUACCUCGAGAGGAGAUGAUGAGGCCGUAUGGGUCUUUAUCUGCUAACCCCCCACAGAUGGUCUCAGACUUGAUUGACACAUCGAAUGCCACAUGGAACAGACAAUUAUUAGAUGCCACCUUCAUGCCUAUAGAUGUAAGAGUCAUCUCGGGCAUACCAAUCUGCACCAUGAAUGUACAGGAUUUCUGGAGCUGGGUUCAUGAGAGGAACGGCCAAUUCACGGUGCGCUCGGCUUAUAACAUGCUGGUUACGACAAGGAACGGGAGAGAAGCAUGGCUAGAGGGAUCGGCAGGAACAUCAAAUAUGCGCGCAAACGAAGGUGCAUGGAAAGCUUUGUGGAAGACGGAGGUCCCAUCUAAAGUACGCAUGUUCCUAUGGAGGCUGUCCAAGCAAUCGUUGCCCACGGAGGAUGUCAGAGCGCAUCGAAAUAUGUCAACCUCAUGUACCUGUGGCUUCUGCGGUGCCCCGGAUUCAUGGCGGCACUCGCUGCUGGAUUGUACAGUUUCAAGAUGUACAUGGGCUCUUGUCGAUGAGGAACUGGGGGUCAAUUUGGCGGCAACAACAGAAGAACGGGCGAAGAGCUGGCUUUUCAGCCUUCUGGACACGCUACCCCACGACAAAUUCAUCCUUCUAGCUGUAACACUUUGGGCGAUAUGGACUUCGAGAAGGAAGGCCAUCCAUGAGGCCAUAUUUCAAAUGCCACAUGCAAUACAUGCGUUCAUCACGCGGUUCAUAGCUGACUUGGAUGCAGUCCGGGCCCCCAAACCCGUUCAUCCCACAAGGGCAAGCACAAACUCACUUGCCCAUAGACCAAAGGCGCCUCCAGCGACCUUUGCCAAGAUCCAUGUGGAUGCAGCAGUAAGGACAUAUAGAGGCGGGUCGGCUGUGGCCAUAUGCAGGGACAACAAUGGUGAUUUUAUGGGAAGUUCAGCCCUGGUGAUUCAAGGUGAAUGGGAGCCAGCCACACUCGAGGCGAUCGCUUGUCGGGAGGCCAUUGCCCUAGCGGAAGACCUCAAUAUUCCACGCUUUGUGGUGGCGUCGGAUUGUAAACAGGUAAUUAGGGAUAUUGCCAAAGGAUAUAAAGGCUCCUAUGGAUCGGUCAUUAGUGAGAUCAGGACUAGAUCAUCACACUUUCUUUGUAAUUUCUCUUUCAAAGGUCGUCGUGUUAAUUUUGAAGCACACAAGUUAGCUAGAUUUUCGUUAUCACUAGCUCAGGGGCGUCAUGUGUGGCUUGGCCAGCCACAUGACCAGACUUGUAUUCCACUUUCUGUGGAGUUUGAUUAAAUAAAGGCUUAUUUCCUAAAAAAAAAGAAUAUCUUUCUAGUCGAAUUUUGAAUAUUUUUCUAUAGUUUAAUAUCCAACAAAACUUGUUCAAACAGAAAAGCAAGGUGAAGAUCUAUUACCAGGUUGUUCGAAUUGUAAUGGCGAAGGGCGAUCUGGACAUGUGGGAGAACGAUGGCUUCGUUGCGCUCCCUGCAUGUGUGCAUAUAUGAGUACAUACAUGUUAGGACUAAUGGUCUCACAGCAUCUUAAUAUUCCUAGCUAGAUCGUCCUGGUAUAUCAAUAUGGAACAGCUAGCGGAUGAACUUAAUCUGCGAGGGAUGAUGUAUAGGAGGGAGCAAUACACUUCUGAGCUGCGGGGCGUACAACACCAGGUUGCGGCGACGCUUGCGCUCCAACCUGUCCAUGAAGCGUUGGACAUGGCGUUGUUGCUAGUACUCCCUCCGUCCGAAAAUACUUGUCAUCAUAAUAGAUAAAACGAGAUGUAUCUAAAACUAAAAUAUGUCUAGAUCCAUCCUCUUUUAUCCAUUUUGAUGGCAAGUAUUUCCGGACGGAGGGAGUAGGAUACAACGGUCUUCACGAAGCACUGAGCAUGCUCUCAAAGCUGCGCUGGUUCCAUUUUUUCUAAAAGGAGGACCACCCCGGCCUCUGCAUCUCGACGAUGCAUGCAAUCACUUUAUUAAUUAUUCACAAAGACCUUACAAAAUAAUAAAUGGGUAAGUUUGAAGUCACAUCUUGGCAACAUAUGUCGUUAUUUCUAUCCACUUGACGAAGGGAUGCCGAUAGUCCGAGCCUAAUACCAAAACAGACCUCGCACCUAAGUCUAACAUCUAAAACCGAAGGCCCCAACCAAGCCAUAUACCUGAUCUGGGGCACACACCAGUCCGGCACACUCUCAGUGGCCACCACCGCCGUCUUCCACCGAUCCAUCUUCAGAGCAGAUACUGACGCCACGACCUUGCCAGGUCUGCCAUCGACGCCACCAUGAUGCCAGACAGCGUCGUCCUCCUAUGCGAGUCCGUCUACACACGUCGAACACCGAGACUGCAUUGCGCCACGCCACCGAGAUCCACAGUCGUCUAUGCGUAAGAUGAAACACCGCUCCACCAAAGAUGCUGGCCGCUGGUCCCUCGAGCCCAUGCACACCUCCAAGACUAACGACCCAAGGGGGAAACGACGCAAGAGCGCCGCCGUCAUCCGAUCUACCGAUCUAGGGUUUCCCCCAGAGGUAACAGAUAGAGGUCUGAAACUUCUCCACGACGAUGUCUUCAAGAAAAGAACGACACAAAAGAGCGCCUCCAUCACCGGCUUUGUCAUCUAGCUAGCCGAGCGCAGGGUUUUCACCCAGAUCUGUUCAAAAAACCUCCAUCAAGUCUGGUGUACGGAUCGCCGCCUGACCAGCCAGCAGCCGCGCCGCGCGAGCAGCAGGGCCGCCCGCAAGCCCCAGCCGCGCCACCGGAGAGCCCUACACCAGACCCCCGCCGCCAGCCCAGGAGCACGACGCCACGUACGACCAGCAGCCACCGCCGCCAGCCUGUGCCGUUGCCCCACCACGCCCCACGGCCGCGCCUCGCCGCCACUAGAAGAAAGCGUCCCGCGCCGCCAUCCUCGGGCAGGAGGAGAAGAAGGCCCCGCCCCCGCCUAGGCCGAGCGGGCUUUGCCCGGCGACAUGCGCCGGCGGCGGCGAGGAGGGGCAGAGGAGGGAGGAGGGAUGAGGGGUGGCAGAUCUGGGCUCCCCCCGGCCGCCCGCUGGGACGGCGCGAGGAGAGGAGGAGAUGCGUUGCGCGAGGAGGAGAUGCACUGCGCUGGUUCCAUACACCGACCAUAAAGCGUUGGAAAUGGCAAUUUACUUACAAGUAGCUAAUUGGACAUGCCAAUCCAUGAAGCGUUGGACAUGGCAAUUAACUUACAACUAGCUAAGUGUCCAUGUGCUGCAAUCGGGGCAUACAUAUUCUAGUAGUUUAACGCCAAUCAUGACUGACUUAUACUUACGCCAACCAUAUUUCUAAAGCAGAAAGUGAUUUGAUUUGAUUGAGUUAAUGCAAAAGAUUUGAUUUGUUCUGAUUGCCCGUAUCCGACCUAAAAUGAUUUGAUUGAGUUAAUGUAAUUAUUUUAUGCCCACCAACGAGGGUGCUACAAAGGAUUUAGUUUGAUUUGAUCGAGUUAAUGCAAGAUGUGUGGGAGGGGACGCUGCAAAGGAAAUUAAUAUUUCAUAAACUUAUUUUGGACUAUAUCAUAAUUUUGACACCUAAGUAAAAAAAAUCUAAUGUGGCAUCCUAUUAAUAAGCAAAGAGAGAGUUAUCCUGGCUUAAUAUAGAUAUAGCUCUUCACACAAAAAUCAAAGCAACUCAUAUUUUCUCUCUCACAAAAAACACUAAAUGAUAAUUUAGAGUACAACAAGAUACAAUCCAUUGAUGAUAUAUAUAUAAACUCACAUUUAAUGCAUAUGAUAUUUAUAACUUAAAGAUAGGAGUGCUUUAAGUAAUCAUGUGCUUAUCUUAUCCUACGGAUGUGUGGUGUCUAUUUAUUAUUGUCAUUAUAAUGAAUUGACUAAGUCUACCUUGUGCGCAGUGUCCUGGUAUAUAAAUAGCCCAGGGCCUGACUCGAUUGAGCACAUCAGUUGUGUUCAUCAUCCAUCUAAGUAUCUUAUAUAAGUUAGGGAUCAAAACAUGGCGUUCAGCAAACUCAACGGCCAGAUGGAAGCCAAGGCAGCCGCGGUUUUGUUCAUUGUGCUCCUUGGAUGCUCCAUGCUCAUGUUGGUCUCCUCAACUGGUAAUAUAUAUGCUCCAUCUGUUUUCAACGUAUACUACAAAAGUUAGUUUGAGAUUGUGACCAACAAUUGCUUUAUACCCGUAUAUAUUUACUGUUACUAGGUUUGUACUGCAAAUAAUUUUCUUGUGAGUAUGCUUUCAUAUCAUAAAAGUUACCUAAUUGUUGAAUACAAACUAAAAAACAGUUGCAUUUUAAAAUGGAGGGAUUGCUAUUUUCUCAUGCAUGUCGUAUGUAUGUGCCUGUUUUUCGCUUGUUAUAUUGUUUUUGGCGGAAGCCGUCUGAUGUAUGUGCAUGCACGCAAUGCAUUCUCUGUCCCAUGCAGAUGGUGAGAUCGGCAGAUCAGGUUGUCCUCGUCUUUCGGAUGGCGAUGCCAUAGGCAAAGACGACACCCCGUUCCCAAAAAUGUGCAUAGGGAGGAGGCAUGGCCCUGAGAACGUUGAAUUCUGUUGUGCAACACUACCAGGACUACCUUGCUGGCGAACGCAGGAAGAGUGCCUCCACGUUUGCCCGUAGGUCUCAUCGUUGUGAUUAAUCAACGUAGUGGGCCAAUCUUUGAUGUUUCUGUCCAUCGGAAAAAUUAGAAUGAAGGGAAAUGAAUAAUAUUUUUUUGAAAAAUGUAUUUGGCAACCCUGUGCCAGUUUGCAAAAAUGCCACACCACCUGGAUGCCGUCGAUUUGAAUCCAACGCGCGUUAGUCGCUCCAGCGAGCCGUUUCUUUUU
rnacentral:lncRNA from 1 species